rnacentral:lncRNA from 1 species
GAAAAGAGGUCUCCUUUGACAGCAUCAUGCUUAAAUGACGAACCCUUUCAAUUGAAGUCUCCACUAUUGUUUCUCCAAGUGUAUUGACAUCCACUGUUAGACAUUCAUUUUUUGUCAUGUAUUGGGCAAAAUCAUGCACUAUAUCAUGCAUCUUGAAUUUCAUUCCCUCAUCGUAAUCCGUCUCAAAAUCUUGGAAGAAAGAGCGCGCUGCUAAGACUUGAAAGUACUGCUCUCCUACAAGCUCCAUAUCUCCACCUGAAGUCUCCUUGAGGUAACCUUGAGCCAUCCACAUCUUCACCAAUUCAUAUUUUCCCAUCUCGUAGUCUUUUGGAAACAUGGCACAAUACAAGAAACAUCGUCUUACCACAGAAGGUAAAUCAUAGUAACUCAAAAGCAAAGGUAUAAAUAUUUGUCUUUCAACCUGAUCUCUAUCAACCUCAUCUAGCCUCCACAAUUCGCUAGAUAAAACACGCUCCCACUCUUCUCUUGUUAUUUUAGACUGCAUUAGACCUCCUAAUACCUUGGCAGCUAGAGGCAAGCCCUUGCACUUGUUUGCAAUUUUAUCGCCGAUAUCUGUCAAUCUUUCGCGCUCAUCUUUGCUUCUUUCCUGGAAUGCCACAUGAUUGAAUAUUGACCUGCAUAUCUUAUCAGACAAUUUCUCAAUGUUGAUCCGGUGGUCAGUUCCCAUCAUCGUUGCCACAGCGUCCUUACGAGUGGUCACUAGAAUUCUGCUUCCAGGUGCACCGCCUUUGAGAGAUAGUUUCAGUGGUUCCCACUGUCCAUGAUUUUCUGUCCAGACAUCAUCUAGGACAAGAAGGAACCUCUUUCCCUUAAUGGAUUCAGAAACCCUUUGCAUAAGGGAUUGCAAUUCAACCAAAUCGGGUGCCCUCCCUUCAAGCUGCUCAAGGAUACCUUUGGCUAUUCUAACCUCAUCAAAUGGUUCUGAAACACACACCCAUAUCUUUUUCUCAAAAUGAGCCGUAACCUCAGCAUCAUUAAAAGCUAGUUGUGAAAAGAAUGAUAUCUUUUGUAUUAUGUUACAGAGUAAACAAAGGUUACAAUUUAUACUAAUGGCUUGAUACAAAGAGCCUACAUUAAAGCCUACGAUCAGACCUAAUUAUCACAGAAUAAGGAAACAAAUAAGUGAAGAUUCAAUUACAGUAUUUGACAGACUUGAUUUCCUAUUCUGUGAUUGAUUUCCUAUGCUGUGCUUGGUUUCCUUUAACACUCCUCCUCAAGUUGGAGUGUAUGUUAAUUACACCCAACUUGCUAAGUAAGGUCUCAAACUGUGUGGAGCUUAAUGGUUUAGUAAACAAGUCAGCCGGUUGGUUUGUAGUCCGUAUGUAGGUUGUUUGAAUCAUUCCUGCUUGAAUUUUCUCACGUAUCAAAUGACAGUCUAUUUCUAUGUGCUUGGUUCGCUCAUGAAAGACUGGAUUCGAUGCUAUGUGCAUUGCUGCUUGGUUAUCACAAAAUUAAGGUUACCGGUUGUGUGUGAUUUAUCUGCAAGUCCUUCAAAAUAUUUUUCAGCCAUGUAAUUUCGCAGCAUGUAGUAGCCAUGGAGCGAUAUUCUGCCUCUGCACUUGAACGUGAUAUUGUUGUCUGUUUCUUACUCCUCCAUGAAACUGGUGCUUCUCCAAGUAAAAUGCAGUAACCAGUAACUGAUCUUCUUGUGUCCUUACAACGAGCCCAAUCAGCAUCAUAAAAUGCUCGUAACUGAAGUGAACCUGUGGACGGCAAAAAGAUGCCUUGCCCAGGUGUUUGUUUGAUAUAUUUGAGCACUUUAUAAGCUGCAUCCAGGUGUGGUUGGCGGGGCUUAUCCAUGAACUGACUAAGGAUGUGCACAGCAUAAGUCAAGUCUGGUCUAGUUAUUGUAAGAUAGAGUAACCUGCCAACUAACCUCCUGUAUGUUGAUCCAUCUUCCAAAAGCUUUCCAUCGGAUUGUGUUAGAGACACAUUUUGCUCCAAAGGAAACCGAGAUGGCUUGACACCCAAAAACCCUGCAUCAUCCAAAAUCUCGAGUGCAUAUUUUCUCUGUGACAAACUAAUGCCAUGUCGUGAUUUGGCAACCUCGAUGCCAAGGAAGUAUUUAAGUUGCCCCAAGUCCUUAAGUUUGAAUUGUUUGGACAAGAAGAGUUUGGUGUUCUCUAUGUCCUGCAAAUUAUUCCCAGCUAAUAUCACAUCAUCAACAUAUAUCAGUAAUGCUAGAAAGUUACCAUGCUGGCUUCGGACGAACAAGGAAUAAUCAGAUAGGGACUGAUGGAAUCCUGCAGCCUUGAGUGCACCGGACAGUUUGAUAAACCACUGUCUAGAGGCUUGUUUUAAGCCAUACAGGGAUUUAUGAAGUUUGCAAACGCGUGUCUCCCCCUUUCAUCCGAAGCCAGGAGGCAAAGUCAUGUAGACGUCCUCAUCCAAGUCACCAUGCAAGAAUGCAUUGUUGACAUCAAGCUGAUGUAAAUGCCAACCACGCAAAGCUGCCACACUAAGUAAGAGGCGGACAUUGACCAUCUUGGCUACGGGAGCAAAGGUUUCCUGAUAAUCAACACCUGCAACUUGGCUGUAGCCCUUGGCCACCAGUCGUGCCUUAUAGCGUUCCACUGUCCCAUCAGCUUUCAACUUGAUUUUGUAUACCCAUUUGCAGCCGAUCGGCCGUUUGUGGGAUGGUAAAGGUACCAAACUCCAAGUCUCAGUGGCCUGUAAAGCAGAUAUCUCAUGGUGCAUGGCCUCACGCCACUGAGGAUGUUGAACAGCCUGUGAAAAACUGGUAGGUUCUUUGAGGAGAGUGAGUUGAGCAGUAUAAGCUUUGUGAUGAGGAGAAAGGUGAGUGUAAGAUAAAUAGGCAGAGAGGGGAUAAGCAGUACCUGAAGUGUGAACCAUGUUCGUGGAUGAUGUCGGGUCAGGCCUUGAAGGGAGAGUCAUGGCGAGAUGGAAAUCCUGCAAGUAAGAAGGAGUGGUGAUAGAACGACUGCCACGACGAAGAGUAGGAAUGGGCACAGGUGAGGAGGUGUUCAGUAUGGGAGAAAAAUCGGGUAGUGGACUAUCAGUAGGACUGGCUGAAUGUGGGGACUCUGUGAGAGGAGCUAGAGGAGUGGAUGAGGUGGUGGAUGGAUGGGUCUGGGAAUUGGGUGAGCUAGGAAAGGUAGGAUUGGGAAGCAGAGAAGGGGGUUCAAAGUGUAUGUCGAAAGGUAUGGAUGGAGUGGGAGUGGGCGUGGGAGGUGAUAAUGAUGGGAUAUUGGUAUGUGAUGCAGAUGUAAUAAAGGGAAAUGUAGAUUCAAAGAAGACGACAUCCCUAGAGACAAGUGUUCGUUGUGUAGCUAGAUCAAAAACUCUAUACCCCUUUUUCCCAUAAGGAUAGCCAAGAAAAAUACACUGAGAUGCUCGAGGAUCAAAUUUUGAGCGAUUUUGGGCAUGGGUGGAAACAAAAAAUAAGCAACCAAAUACUCGUAAGUGUGAGUAAUUGGGAACUUUGUUGAAGAGUUUUUCAUAUGGUGUUUUUCCAUGGAGAAUGGGGGUUGGUGUUCGAUUUAUGAGAUAAGCGGAAGCAAGAAUAGCGUCACCCCAAAAUUGGUGAGGAAGGUCGGCUUGAAGAAGUAAAGCACGUGCCAUAUUUAACAAAUGCCUAUGUUUGCGUUCGGCAACGCCAUUUUGUUGUGGAGUAUUAAUGCAACUGGUUUGAUGAAUAAUACCUUUGUGAGCGUAAAAGCUGUCAAGUUUGAAUUCAAGACCAUUAUCACUACGAAUCAUUUUGACUUUGGAAUCAAAUUGGUUUUCAGCCAUGUUGAUGAAAUUGACUAGAAGACCCCUAGUGUCAGAUUUGUGUUUCAUAAGAUAAAUCCAUGUGCAUCUAGUAUGAUCAUCAACGAUAGUAAGAAAAUAUUUGGCACCUGAAAUAGAAGGAAUUUUAUAACCACCCCAAAUGUCAACAUGGAUUAAAUCAAAUGAAGAUAUGGUAGUAAUGGAACUUGAAGAAAAUGGAAGUCUGGUUUGUUUUGCUAACGGACAAAUACAACACUUGUCGUUAGAGCAAGAAUUAACUUUAGGAAAUAAUGGAGAGACUUUGGUUGAGGGAUGCCCAAGACGUUGAUGCCAAAGGUUCGGGUUAGAAUUUUUGGCAUGGUUGCAGGUUCCUUUCUUGGCUUGGUCGAGAAAGUAGAGACCCUCCCGUUCAAUUCCCGUCCCAAUCAUCUUCCCCGAACGUAGGUCCUGAAUCACACAAAAUUGGCUUAGAAAAAUGGUGAUGCAAGAAGAAUCAAAUGCUAGUUUGCUAAUGGAAAUUAAAUUCAAUCGGAAAUAUAGGACACAUAAGACAUUAUCAAGGAUCAAAUCAGGAGAUAGAUGAACUCUGCCUAUGUGAGUUACUUGUGCUAUUGAUCCAUUCGGUAAUUCAACAGUGCGGCCAUUAACCGGUCUUGAGUAUGUGAGCAGAUUUUGGUCAUAAAUCAUAUGAUCUGUGCACCCACUAUCCAAAAUCCAUGUACUUCUGUUGCCAUUAGAGAAGAGUGAAAAAGCUUUACCUGAGAGCUCAUCAUGAGUUGGACAGUUACUAACAUGGUUGGCAGAGGAUGUUUUGGUUUUUAACAUGCUGAGUAUCUGUUUGCACUCGUCAGGUGUGAAAGGAAAAUUCAUCUCCUUCCUCUCAUUCGUAUGGGAUGCAACUUGAUUUCCCUUGGAAAUCGCCAUAUUAAAUUCAGCUUCAGUUACUGCUUUCUUCUUGCGACAAUACUCGGCUGUAUGUCCCUUCCAGCGGCAGAAAGUGCAUCUGAGAUGUGCACGACAAUCCUUGGUGUUGUGAUUUGUUCUAUUGCAUCUUGAGCAUCUCUGUUCAGUUUCAGUCUCAUGGCUUAAAUUCUUUACGGCAAAGGCAUCAGCCUCUGGUUGAGCAGGACUUUUCCCAGUUGUCACUUCUGAUUGUUUUUCAUGACGAAGAACCAGUGAGUAUGCCUUGUUGAUUGUUGGUAAUGGAUCCUGCAACAGAGUGUUGCUACGAACACCCACAUAUGAAUCACUAAGACCCAUGAGAAAUUUCAUGGUUUUCUGUGUGUCCAGGUAUGCAGCCACUUCCUUGACUGAUCCACAAGUGCAUGUUGGAAAGGUGCAUAGUGCAUCACGCUCAUCCCAUAAACCUUUCAGUUUUGUGAAGUAGGAUCCCACAGACAUGCUGCCCUGCACACAGUUGUGAAUUUCAUUCUCAAUGUUAAAUAACUGAACCACAUUCACAUGUGAGAAUCUUUCCUUUAAAUCAAGCCACAUUUGUCUGGCAUCCUUGCAGUUGAUGACGCUAGCUGCAAUAUCUUUGGACAUAGAUCCCAGCAGCCAAGUUUUAACCAAACUGUUGCACCGAUUCCAUUGUUGAUGCUCAUCUGGUUUCUUCUCAUCAGGCUCCUUCAUUGAGCCAUCUAUAAAUCCAAUCUUGUUUUUAACUGUCAGAGCCAUAGUCAUGGAUUGGCUCCAUGUGCUGUAGUUGUCUUCAACCAAAGGUUGUGGCACAAGAACAGCGCCAGGUUGAUCUGAAUGGUGAAGGUAAAGCUGGUGAUUGGGAUGAUCCCAUCUUGCUCCUGAAGACAUGCUUCCUUGGUUUUCGUUUCCCAUGGAAGUUGGCUAAAGGGUUUAUGUUUUAUUUUGAUACCUAGAUUAAUUGCUCUGAUACCAUGAAAAGAAUGAUAUCUUUUGUAUUAUGUUACAGAGUAAACAAAGGUUACAAUUUAUACUAAUGGCUUGAUACAAAGAGCCUACAUUAAAGCCUACGAUCAGACCUAAUUAUCACAGAAUAAGGAAACAAAUAAGUGAAGAUUCAAUUACAGUAUUUGACAGACUUGAUUUCCUAUUCUGUGAUUGAUUUCCUAUGCUGUGCUUGGUUUCCUUUAACAAGUUGGGCGAGAGUUGUUUUUCCAAUUCCGCCCAGCCCUACUACAGAGAUGACAUCCACGUCCCGUGCUUCUUGACUACUUUCAGCCAGCAACUUGCUUACAACAUUUCUCUUUUCACCAUCUCGACCAAUCACACUUGAUUCAUCAACAAAGGAGGUAGUUGUUAGCCGCUGGAGUUCAUCAGUGGCUUUGUACAGAUCAAAGCCAUACUUAGCUCUCUCUUUGGCAAUGUCAUCCACUUUUUCACUAACUUCUUUGAUCUUCCGGGCAAUGUCGCGACGUCGAACCACUUGAUUGAAACAAAAGCAAGGAGAUCCCAGGAAGGAACACCGUAUCUUCUGUCGGCUGUGAGUAUUUUCAGCUUCCUCCAUUUUCCAUCGAAGAAUUGCAGUGCUCCAUUCAUCUAGCACGUCAUCCAUAUCAUAACAUGCAUCUUUGAGCUUGUCUAGCCAAUCUCUUACAGCCUUAUCCCUCACUUGUUUUCUAUCUGCAUCUUCAAGGACAGAUUGGAUAUCAAGGAGAUUGCUUUUCAGCUUGUCACAUUGUUUCUUCACAUCCACUACUAGGUUCACCUCUUCUUGUACCUAUUAGUGUACAGAUGAAAAGAAACGUUAAGCAUAGGAAACAUUUCUAUGAUUUCAAUACAAAUUCUUAAUUUUUAGCAAUUAAUAGAUUAAAUCAUUUUUAUUAAACUUUUUCACAGUAGCAAUUAAUAUAUUUAUAUUGUUAAUUAUAUUCAAAUUAUAUAUAAUAACUCUCUAAAAUAAAAUGACUCGUAAAUAAUGUAAUGCUAAGCCACUAUUAUUGCACUAAAAUUUACUAGAUGCGUGAAUUAAAAUAUAUUUUAUUUGAAUAAAGGAUUUCUUUAGAUAAAAAGAUAGAAUUCAUAGAUAUUAUAAUUGUGGAGCGCAAUAUAUACAUUGCAAUUUCACAAUAUUUUUAGGUGACUUUUAAUAAUUAUCAUAGUCUAUUUUUUAAAAUAUUCUGUGAGGUUGAUCAAAAUAAAAAAGAAAUAUUAAUUAGAAUUUCUAUAAUCAUGUUUGUAAUCGAAUAUUUGACUAUAUUUAUUUUAAUCAUUUUAUCAUACUAAUUUUAUUUCAAAUAUAGUUAUUUAUGCAUUCAAAUAUGAUAAGGAAUUAUUAAAAAAGGAAUUUACUACUAUUUUACUAUAUUGAUUUGUUCUAACCAGCCAUCACAAUAACCAUAUUUUGUAUAGCACAAAAGAUAUAAAUAAAAAGAAAGAGAAUCGUAAGAACCCGCUAUCUUGUAAAAAUAAUAUACAUACAUACAUACAUACAUAUAUAUAUAUAUAUAUAUAUAUAUAUAUAUAUAUAUUAACUAAUUUAUUUGAUCACAUGCAAUGUGAUAAUAUAUAAAUCAAGCUACUGAUUUAGCUUCUGACAAAUUAACAGAUAUUCUAUAAGAUAAUGAAAUCAAUGUAUAAUGAACUAUAAAUGUUAGGUUAAUUGCAAAAUUGUAGAAAAGUAAUUAAGUACCUGUUGAUUAUAAAAAAAAGAAAAAAAAAAAAGAAACAAACAAAAAAGAGUACCUGUCGAGCAACGAUCGUGGUUAACUGCUCCAAAAUUGGGGAUACAAGUGCGUCAGCCAUUGUUGUUCUUACUACUGAAUGUGUCAAGAAAAAGGAGAGAAAGUAAUGGGGCGUUGUUGACUGAUGAAAUGAGAAGUUGAUGAAGAUAGGAAGGAUAGUGAUCUACUCUGUGGAGUGCCAGAGAAAAUUAAUUUGAGGUUAUUCUCCAUGAAGUUUAGGCAAUAUAUACUGCAAAUUAAGAUCAUUUGCUUAAGACUGGGGUUAGAGUAUGAUUCUGAACUUCAGUAUAAAGCAACUAAUUUCCUUCAAGGUUGAUGCAAGCAAAGAAUGUUACUGAAACAAUGAGAAAAUAUGUGUAACAAGGAAAAGGAAAAGGCAAAGGCAAAGGCAAGUCUAGAAUUAGCCAUUGCUUCACUUUGGGUUCAAGUAUAAUGCAUCAGUCAUUUUUUUAUUUGCAUGGUUAUGGUUAUAAGAUCACGGUAAUUCUGUAAAAAAUAAAUUAAAAUAAAUUAUUUUAGAAAUAAGUUUCUUGUUGUAAUUAAAUUGCAAAAAAUAGUUAGGAUAAAAUUUAAGAUAAAUCCUAGGGAACACAUUCAAAAUGCACUGUGUACUGGAUUCUCAAUGUUCAUUUUACAGUUUGACAAGAGAAUCUUUCCUUCACUUUCACUUGCACGAUCUUUUUUUUAUCUUCUUUUUUUUUCAAAACUUACAAUCUUUUUUUUUCCCAGAUCUUUUUUCACUGUGUACCCAUUAUUUGUUUGGUUUACGAUGCUUUUUUUUUAAUACCUUAUAAGUGCCAAAAUUACCAACACCAUCAAUAGCAUAAUUUUUUUGCCUUAAUUUUAACUGCAAAACAGCUACCUUACCGCCCCAGCAAACGAGAACGAAAAAGCUCACCAAGAUGCUCUCUUUGAAAAGAUUCUCAAUGAGUCACUGACAUUUACUCUCAUUGUUUAAAAAAGUUAGGGUAAAGUUGAAAGAUAAAAUUAAAAAAAAAAUUAUUGAUUAAAAAAACAUUAUUAUAAUGAAUAGUUCUUUUAUGAUGAGGGGUAUUGUAAAAUCCUCUCCUCUUUUGGUGUCUACUAGUUAUGUGAAUUGUGCUUCACUUCAGGUCAAGUAUUUUUAAUUUUUUAUAAAAAAGGUUGUAUAUGCAGAUUUUUUCAACGUAUUUUUGUACUUUAAAAAAUUUAAGUGUAUAUCAAAAAAUUUAUGCACACAUUUAAUCAAAUAAAUUGAGAAUUAUAUAUGUUAAUAAACAAAUAAAUAAUCAUUAACGACACCUAAAAAUAAAACUUAAAAAAUUGAGAGACAAAUAUAGAUCAAUAUAUUUAAUUUCGCAAAAUAAGAUAUUUACCCGAUCAUGUUUGCUAAAUUUUUUAUUAAAAAAAUUUCUAAUUUAAUCAAAUGAUAAUAAAAUAGAUAAACAUAUUAAAUUGAUUGAAUAAAAUAAAAAGAAAAUAUGAAUAAUAUGCAAGGCUACACAUAUUAGAAAUAUCAUAUAAAAUAAAUAUUUUUUAUUUUCAAAAAUAUAGUUCACCUAUGCAAAAGAUAAAAAAAUUAUAGAUAGAUUAGAAAAAACCUCUUUAAAAAUUAAACAUAUAAUCAAAAAAAUCACCAUUAUUUAGAAGAGGUUAUCUAAACAAAAUAAAAAAGAAAGAAAGGGUGGAUAGUGAUCUACCGUGGAGCGCAAGAGAAAAUUAAUUUGAGGUUAUUAUCAAUGAAGUUUAGGCAAUGGCGCAAAUUAAGGUCAAAUUGGAUGUUUUGCACUUUGGAUAAUGAUAUUAAUUUUUGGUGUUUGGUGAUAGAUUUCUUGUUGUGAAAUAGUUAUGGUAAAAUUUAAGAUAAAUCCUAGUGAACACGUCUUGUUGUGAAAUAGUUAUGAUAGACUCUCAAUGUUCAUUUUAGAGUUCCACAAGAGAAUCUUUCCGUCACUUUCACUUACUGCAAAACAGAGCUAUCAAUUUAAAAAUAUAUAAUUGCUCAAAUCAAGAAAUCAAUCUCAAUAAAUAAUAAUGUUUUAUGGCAACAACAGAUAAUAAAUAUUAUAUAAAUUACUAAGAAGUACUAUCAAUUUAAUAUUAAUAAUUUGAAUAUUUAUACUACUCCUCUGCAGCAUAUGAGAUAGUAAGUGAUAGAAUGGUCCCACUCCCCAUGUUAUGGUUUAUAUUUUGCUUUAAACAGAGUAUAGUUGUACUAAAAAUACACCCCUUUCCCGAAAGGAAGGGGAAGAACACAAUCAAGGGAUUUCUUGUUGUUUGACUUCUCAUGUUUCUCUCCCACCACGGGCAACUGUUUAUUUUCGCCAAGGUGAAUUGAGGCUUCAAGUAGAAGAAAUUAUUUACUGGUUAGAAACUUGGUCGAUUUCACUGUUGUCUUUGAGACAAAUGAAACUGAGGUUUUUGGUUUGCAAUUUGGGCAGAUAAGGAUAAUCCUUAUUGUUUGGUGUUUGAGAAUUUAAUUGGUGCUAAAUUUCUUGUUGUAAAUUGCAGAAAAUAGUCAGGGUAAAAAUUUAAGAUGAAUGCUAGGGAACACAUCUUCCCAAAAUGCACUGGGUUCUGGAUUCUCAAUGAAUGUUCAUCUUACAGUUUGACAAGAGAAUCUUUCCUUCGCUUGCACUAUCUUUUUGUUUGUUUGCCCGAUGCAUGAUUUUUUUACCAAAUAAGGAUAAUCCUCAUUUUUCCUUGAUAAAUUCUAACUACAAAACAGCUACUUCACCAACAAGAUGGAAAAGGCUCGCCAAGAUGUUCUCUUUGAAAAGAUUCUCAGUGAGUCGUUGACAUCUCAUUUUUGGAAUUUCUCCAAUAGCUUGAUGUCUACUCUCACUAUAUUGAGUAGGAUGACUGUAUAGAAUUACUCUGAUUUAUCAACACAUAUCAAAUUCUUGCUGCUGCUGAGGAAGAUAUCUGCACUUAGCCAUCAUAGAGGGUAGCGAAUUUUGUGUUGAUGGAAAUUACACUGACUCAUUGUGUACCAUCUAGAAUUCAAUUUUAAAAAAUAUUGCAAGAAAUGAUGUUUUUUCCUAAAUACAUCAUUCGGGUGUGGAUAGCUUGAUUAAAAUGCGACUCACUAAAAAGUCUUGGUCUUAAUAUGCAAAGAUGAUCCUAGUAUACCAUAUUUCUUUUAAAAUAAAACCCACAGAUCUAGUCCACGCAAAGGUACUGGAAUAUGGAUUUGUAAAAAAUAAAAAUGAAAAUUUAUACGAAAUUGAAUUGUGCUAAAAAAACCCACAGAUCUAGUCCAUGAUCUACGGCUCCUCCAGAGUUCCGUAGUGGUGUCUUUCUCAACUAUUCUUUAAAUAAAAUGUUUGGGAUGUGAGAAAUCUUGUGCCUAUCUUCACCCCUCCCCUCCUUCCCGUAACGUUUCCUUAGAGAAUUUAUGUAGAGGCGCUGUCAAAACAUAGGCCGGUAGUGCUCUCAACAAUGGGCAUUUGAGAAUUCUAAACUCAACAAGUUGUGGCAUGAUGAAUAUUGAAGUCAUGGUGGAAUCUUCUUCUCCCACUCUCCUUUCAAUCCCAUCCCACUCCUCUAGUUCUUUGAGAUGCCAUAUGCUAAGUUUUUUCAAUUUGGGGAAAGCAGGGACUCUUGCAAUUUCUCCUUCAUUAAUAUUGGUAUUGCCAACAUUUUCUUUGCCUAAAAAUCCACCAUCCAACCUUCUCAGCUUCAUGCUCAUCCAUCUGAAAAUCUUGGAAGAAACAACGUGCUACUAAGACUUGAAAAUACUCCUCUCCAACAAGCUCCAUACCUCUACUUGGAGUCUCCUUAAGAUAACCUUGAGCCAUCCACAUCUUCACCAACUGGUCUUUUUCCAUCUCGUAGUCUUUUGGAAACACCGUCUUGCCACAGAAGGUAAAUCGUAGUAACUCAAAAGCUGAGGUGGAAAUAGUGCUAUUUCAACAUGUUCUAACUCCCACAGUUCGCUAGAUAAAACAUGUUCCCACUCUUCUCUUGUUCUUUUACACUGCACUAGACCUCCUAAUACCUUGGCAGCUGGAGACAAGCCCUUGCACUUGCUUGCAAUUUUGCCGCCUAUUUCUGUCAAUCUUUCGCGCUCAUCUUUGAGUUUUUUUUAUUGGAAUGCCACCUGAUUGAAUAUUGACAUCCAUACCUCAUCAGAUACUCUCUCAAGGUUGAUCCAGUGGUCCGUUCCCAUCAUUGUUGCUAUAGCAUGUUUACGAGUGGUCACUAGAAUUCUGCUUCCAGGUGCACCGCCUUUGAGAGAUAGUUUCAGUGGUUCCCAUUGUCCAUGACUUUCUGUCCAUACAUCAUCAAGGACAAGAAGGAACUUCUUUCCCUUCAUUGAUUCAGAAACACUUUGCAAAAGGGAUUCCAAUUAAACUAAACACUUUCCCUCAAGGAUAGCUUUUGCUAUUCUAACCUUAUCAAAUGGAUCUGAUACACACACCCAUAUCUUUUUCUCAAAAUGAGCCGUAACCUCAGCAUCAUCAAAAGCUAGUUGGGCGAGAGUUGUCUUUCCAAUCCCGCCCAUCCCUACUAUAGAGAUGACCUCCACGUCCCCUGCUUCCUGAAUACUUUCGCCCAGCAACUUGCUUACUAAAGCUUCCCUUUCCUCAUCUCGACCACUCACGAUUGAUUCAUCAACAAGGGAGGUACUUGUUAUUCGUUAGAGUUCAUCAGUGGCUCUGUACAGCUCAAAGCCAAACAUUGCUCUCUCUUUGGCAAUCUCAUCCACUUUCUCACAUACUUCUUUGAUCUUGAGGGCAAUGUCGCGACGUCGAGCCACUUGAGUGAGACAAAAGCAAGGAGAUCCCAGGAAGGAACAUCGUAUCUGCUGUAGGCUGUGAUUAUUUUCUUCAGCAUCCCUCAUUUUUCAUGUAAGAAUUGCAGAGCUCCAUUCAUCUAGCACAUCAUCGAUAUCAUAGCAUACAUCUUUGAGCUUGUCUAGCCAAUCUCUUGCAACCUUAUCCUUCACUUGCUUUCUAUCUGCAUCUUCAAGGACAGAUUGGAUAGCAAGGAGAUUGCUUUUCAGCUUGUCGACUUGUUUCUGCACACCCCCUACUAGGUUCACCUCUUCCUGUACCUAUUGGUGUAGAAAAGAUAAGAAAGUUGAAGCAGAGGAAACAUUUCUAUGAUUUCUUUACAAGUUUUUAAUUUUAAUUUUUGGUAAUGAAUAGAUUAGCAGUAGUUGACACGUACUGCGAAAUGGAUUGGCUAUAUUAAUAAUUUAUACAUAAAAUAUUUAUUAAAAACCUAUAUAUUAAAAAUAAUAAUAUUUCUUUUUUGUUAUCAUCAUGAUGAUACCUGUCUGCACUCUUCCACUACAAAGAAAUAUAUAAAAGGAAUAAAAGGAAAGUGAAUAAAAGGAUCUGUAUUUGUUGGUAUUUGUAAAGUCCAUUGACAACUCAUUCUUUUUCCUUCUAAAGAUGUUUGAUUUGAGUAUUUGAGAUUUUAUUUUGUUUUUCUUAAAGGGAAGAAAAAAAGACUUCAUUUUUAUGUUUCUUAUUCAUGGUAGGUUAAUUAGGUCAUUGCAAAUUGUAUAAAAGCAAGUACCUGUUGAGCAACGAUCCUCGUUAACUGCUCCAAAAUUGGUGAUAAAAGUGCCUCUGCCAUUUGCCUGUUUAGUUUAAUUUUAUUUUAUUUUUAAAAAAGAGACAAUGAUGAGAGGAUGAACUGAGAGAGAGAGAGAGAAGAGAGUGUGAGGGGAAGGAGGCUGCUGGUUGUGAAAUGAAGAGAGAGGGUUAGUUUAUGUACUUGGGCCUUGGGGUUUGCUGAUGAGGGUUAAAGUUUUUUUUAGUCCCUGUAUGAUUUUUAACAUUUCAAUUUAGCCCCUAUAUUAUUGGACUUCUCAGUCUAGUCUCGGUCAGGGGUUACAUACUGAAAUGUAUCUGAUAUGGACACUGAUUAUAGCAUUAUACUGAAAUCCUUUCUUCUUCUUCUUCUUCUUUUUUUUUUUUUUUCACUCCUUUAUUAACGUGAUUUAAGGCACUUCUUUCGUUGUCUUUUUCUACUUUUUCAUAAUUUAAGGUACUUCUUUCUUGUUUUAGCUAGAAACAUAAUGCAAGACAAUUAGAAAAACAAAGGAAGAGUGUUUUCAAGAUUCAGGAAUCCGAGAGUGAAGAGCUGACAUGCAGAUGCAGGAACAUAGGAAGAGAGUUGUUUGGUUAUUAAAAUAAGGGCUAAGGUUAUGAAAUCUGGAAAUUGAAAGUCAGAUCUAAAUUACAGAGGAAAUCAGCUAACACCACCGGCGAAGUGAAUUCUUGCAUGACAGCAGCAGUUUCCCUCACAAGUUGUCUGACAGGAAUUGGUUCCUACAACCAUAAAAAUUCACAAGUUAGAACCUUCACGAUUUAACUCUUGGAUUUCACGCUAGAUUCAGCAGCGGUUGGGGUCAGAAUGACAUUGUUGGGAAGAAGACAACUAACAACAAGUCUUGUGAUACAGACAACCUCAAUAAGUACUUUCCAGAUGUAUUAUCUUAACCAGGUCAUCAAGCAUUAGAGGAAUUAUGUACAUGAGUUUGUUUAGAGACAUCAAAAGGAUGCCCAUACACCAUUCAUAAGAUAAGCCAUGGAAAUUUAACAACCUUAUCACUUAUCAGUGAAAUUAAAAGAAGAGCUGAAGAACAAACGUGGAGUUUUAUAUAACUAUAUUAUUUGAUAGUUUUAUCUAUAUUUAUCUAAUAUUUUAAAUAUGUUUUAUAUAUAAAAUAUCUUGAUAUUUUUUGUUUUAUAUCUUGAUAUUUUUUGUUUUAUAUUUUAAAAACACUUUUGAAUAUAAAAUUAAAAAAGAAGUAAAUUGAAGAUAAUUAACAGAUUUGAUCUCCAAUCAAUGAGAUUCAACUCUAGAAGUCGAAACGAAGUGAUUUCAAGGGCAUUAAAAAUCCAACAUCCAUACCUUUCUAUAUAUAUACGGCAAAAAAAAUAAAAAGAGAAAGAGCAUCGAGAUCGCAGCUUUCAAAGACAAAUCUGGCAUUUUAUCAGUGUUGAUCUUUGAUCAUUCUAACUUGAAUAUCUUGAGUUAGAGAAGUUUAUUUGAUGCAAACUCAAUUUUAUUGGAUUCCUGACUCAAAGAUCUAUCAUCAUACCAAAGUUCAGCAUAAAAAGAGCUCAUAUGAGAGAAAUAUAAUUUUUUCUAAGAUGCCACAUGAAUUCUACCAGUAGACAAGUUUUAUGAAGAAAUAAGUACAAAUUAAAUCCCAAAGCAUUCAAACCGACAUCCAAAUCUUUAUUUCGGCAAUUUAACUUCUCAAAGUCAAAAGUCAAAACUUGAAGAAAUUAUGCAAUACAAACACAAUUCUAAACAAAUAUAAUUUCAAAAUUUAAAAUAUUUCUAAGUAGUCAAAAUAGAUUUUUAACUUAAAGUAAUUCAAUUUAAACAAAAUAUCAAAAUAUUUUGAAAGUAAAAUAUUUUAACAAAAAUAUUUUAAAUAUAAAGUUAGGUCAAUGUUAUCAAGGCUAAUGGAAUCUAAAGUAUCCCUUAUUUUGCUCAAAUUCCUACAAAGUAUAAACAUAUAUAUAUAUAUAUAUAUAAACAUGAAUAUAAACCAUAUAUAUUAGUGAUAAAUCCAAUUUUAAAAAAUUAAUAUCAUUGUUAAUAAAAUAGUAAUAAUAAUUUUCAAUAUUAUUAUUAAUAUCAUUGUUAUUGAAAAUAGUAAUGAAAAAAAGCUUUUUAUUAUUAGGCAGUUUAAUUAAUUAAAUUGAACAAGGUUCAAUUUAAUUCAAUGACUUUUUAAGAACGGAACAUAACAUGUGGAAUGAAACCGGAACGUUCCGGGCGGAAUUUAGCUGAAAAAUCCGGAACGGACCGAGAUUUAAAAUGAGAUGAAAUUUGUUCCGUUUUGUUCUGUUUUUUGAAUUGGUAUGAAAUGUUUCGGCCCUGAUGAAACGAAAUGGAAUUGACAAUCUUGCUUCUAGAGAUAUCUUUAAGAGAGAGAGAGAGAGAGAUUACAAGUCAACAAUAAAUGAUUACAAAUGAUUUCAAUCCAAUUACAGUAAAGAGGUAUAUGAAACAUUAGGUGCAUAAACACAACAUUGAAUGAAAUCCUCCACGUAAACACCAAAGCAAACAAUUAAUACACUCAGAAUCAAAACGGAAGCCACUCUGUAGUAGCUCUUUAGUAUCUUCAAAGCCCAAGCUGUCAAACACACACCAAAAGCAUACGUGUCAUCACCAAAACAAUCCAAUGGAUGCCCUUCGAUUUGAUUCCAAAAAUAUUAUAACUUGGAAAAUCUUCAGAUGCACAUGUUAAAUAUAUCAUGUAAUGGUAAACAAGAAUUAGUAAAUAAAAAACAAAGUUAAUUAAUUUGUAUCUUUCUCCUCAUCCACUAACUCUUGCUUCUUUUUUUCCCAUGAAAAAACGGAGAGCCGAAAAUAGAUUUGUUAAAAAUUAAAAUUAUAAUCUCUACGCUAAUAAUUAUAAUAGUAAAAUCUUUUACAGUUAAGAAGUAACACUGGUAGUAGAAUUUACCUGUUAAUUCCUGUCGGUCCUACAGACUUCCGUAGAGGUCUUAACUAUAAAUAGAAAUGUUUGGGAUGCGAGAAAUCUUUUGCCAAUCUUCACCCAUCUCCUCCUUCCCGUAACGUUUCCUUAGAUUGCGGCAACCACUUAUGUCCAAUCCUGUAGAGGCGCUGCCAAAACAUAGUCUGGUAGUGCUCUCAACAACGGGCAAUAUCAAUAUCAACUCUCGAAGUUGUGGCAUAAUGGAUAUUAUUGAAGUUGUGUUGGCAUCUUCUUCUCCCACUCUCCUUCAAUUCCAUCCCACUCUUCUACUUCUUGAGAUCCAAAUAUAAGUUUUUUAAUUUGGGGAAAGCAGUGACCCUUGCAAUUUCUCCUUCAUUAAUACUGGCAUUCUCAUCUUUUUCUAUACCUAAAAAUCCAGCAUCCAGCCUUCUCACCUUCACCCAUCAAUACCAGGCUUUCAAGGUUGGGCAAUCUUCCCAACGGAGGCAAGACCUCCACGUUUUCACAAUCACAGUUAAGCCCUGUAAUCUGGUUAAUGUCAUCAUCCAAUUUGGCAAUCCAACCCUCCGUACUAUAUGGUUAGAUUUCCAAGUCUGACGGAGGCUGUAAAGCUUCAAUUAAAGAGCCUUCAUUCGCUUGCAACUCUGUUAUCUCUCUGUCGAAAAACAAUCCCAAACAACGCAGGCGUUUCUUAUUCUUGAGUUGUGCUUCUGCAGCGUCACUCGCAUCUUCUUUACCGACUCCUAGAUUCUGUAUCUGAAGACUACCUCCAAUGUGAUUUAAGUUUUUUAAUUCUCUCAGAUUAGCUGCUUUACUUCCAUUCUCACCACCACCACACACAGUAAACCGAUCUAAUGUUCGAAGACAUGUUAUCCUCUCUAUUCCCUUUGGUAUGAAGGCCACUUCUGAACCAUAAAUCCGGAGAUGCCUCAAUUUGAUAAGUUUUCCAAUAGCCUUGGGCAAUUCCUUGAGAGACCGACACCAAGUAACAUCUAGGGAUUGCAGAUUGCAUAAAUCACACAUGGUUUCUGGCAGGGAUUCCAACUGAAAACAAGAUGCCAGAUUGAGGUGUCUCAAAUGUAUCAAUUUCCCUACCUCGUUUGGUAUUUCUUUGAUUGAAGACCCUGACAAAUUCAAUGACCUGAUGCAUGUCAACUGCUUGAACAAAUCAGGCAGUGCAGCUCCAAGCGAAGGGUCUCUAGUGUCGAACAAUAGGCUGCGAAGACCUUUUGCUUUGUGAAUGGACACGGGAAAAGAGGUCUCCUCUGACAGCAUCAUGCUUAAAUGACGAACCCUUUCAAUUGAAGUCUCCACUGUUGCUUCUCCAAGUGUAUUGACAUCCACUGUUAGACAUUCAUUUUUUGUCAUAUAUUGGGCAAAAUCAUGCACUAUAUCAUGCAUCUUGAAUCUAAUAUGUUCUCGAUCAUACGUCUUAAAAUCUUGGAAGAAAGAGCGCGCUGCCAAGACUUGAAAGUAAUCCUCCCCAACAAGCUCCAUGUCUCUACUUGUAGUCUCCUUAAGGUAACCUUGAGCCAUCCACAUCUUCACCAAUUCAUCUUUUCAUCGUAGUCUUUUGGAAACAUGGCACAAUACAAGAAACAUCGUCUUACCACAGAAGGUAAAUCGUAGUAACUCAAAAGCAAAGGUAAAAUAGUCCCUCUUUCAACAUGUUCUAGCUCCCACAUUCGCUAGAUAAAACACGUUCCCACUCUUCUCUUGUUCUUUUAGACUGCAUUAGACCUCCUAAUACCUUGGCAGCUAGAGGCAAGCCCUUGCACUUGCUUGCAAUUUUAUCGCCGAUAUCUGUCAAUCUUUCGCGCUCAUCUUGCUUCUUUCCUGGAAUGCCACUGAUUGAAUAUUGACCUGCAUACCUCAUCAGACAAUUUCUCAAUGUUGAUCCGGUGGUCAGUUCCCAUCAUCGUUGCCACAGAAUGUUUACGAGUGGUCACUAGAAUUCUGCUUCCUCGUGCACAGCCUGUGAGAGAUGGUUUCAGUUGUUCCCAUUGUCCAUGAUUUUCUGUCCAGACAUCAUCAAGGACAAGAAGGAACCUCUUUCCCUUAAUGGAUUCAGAAACCCUUGCAAAAGGGAUUGCAAUUCAACCAAAUCGGCCCUCCCUUCAAGCUGCUCAAGGAUAGCUUUGGCUAUUCUAACCUCAUCAAAUGGUUCUGAAACACACACCCAUAUCUUUUUCUCAAAAUGAGCCGUAACCUCAGCAUCAUUAAAAGCUAGUUGGGCGAGAGUUGUUUUUCCAAUUCCGCCCAGCCCUACUAGAGAGAUGACAUCCACGUCCCGUGCUUCCUGACUACUUUCGCCAGCAACUUGCUUACAGCUUCCUUUUCACAUCUCGACCAUCACGCUUGAUUCAUCAACAAAGGAGGUACUUGUUAUUCGUUGGAGUUCAUCAGUGGCUUGUACAGAUCAAAGCCAUACAUAGCUCUCUCUUUGGCAAUCUCCACUUUUUCACAUACUUCUUUGAUCUUGAGGGCAAUGUCUCGACGUCGAACCACUUGAUUGAAACAAAAGCAAGGAGAUCUCAGGAAGGAACACCGUAUCUUCUGUCGGCUGUGAGUAUUUUCUUCAGAAUCCCCCAUUUUCCAUGUAAGAAUUGCAGAGCUCCAUUCAUCUAGCACGUCAUCCAUAUCAUAGCAUACAUCUUUGAGCUUGUCUACCCAAUCCCUUACAGCCUUAUCCUUCACUUGUUUUCUAUCUGCAUUUUCUCUAAAAUAAAAUGACUCGUAAAUAAUGUAAUGCUAAUGCCACUAUUAUUGUACUUAAAUUUACUAGAUGAGUGAAUUAAAAUAUAUUUUAUUUGAAUAUAGGAUUUCUUUAGAUAAAAGAAUUCAUAGAUAUUAUAAUAAUCAUAUAAUUAUGUAGCGCAAUACAUUGCAAUUUCACAAUAUUAUUAUGUGACUUUUAAUAGUUAUGCAUAGUCUAUUUUUAAAAAAAAUCUGUGAGGUUGAUCAAAAUAAAAAAGAAAUAUUAGAAUUUCUAUAAUCAUGUUUGUGAUCGAAUAUUUGACUAUAUUUAUUUUAAUCAUUUUAUCAUAAUAAUUUUAUUACAAAUAUAGUUAUUUAUGCAUUCAAAUAUGAUAAGGAAUUGUGAAAAAGGGAAUUUACUACUAUUUUACUAUAUUGAUUUGUUCUAACCAGCCAUCACAAUAACCAUAUUUUGUAUAGCACAAAAGAUAUAAAGAAAAAGAAAGAUAAUCGUAAGAACCCGCUAUCUAGUAAAAUAAUAUAUAUAUAUAUAUAUAUAUAUAUAUAUAUAUAUAAAUCAAGGUACUGAAUUAACUAAUUUUAACAGAUAUUCUAUAAGAUAAUGAAAUCAAUGUAUAAUGAACUAUAAAUGUAGAAAAGUAAUUAAGUACCUGUUGAUUAUAAAAGAAAGAAAGGAAACAAAAAAGAGUACCUGUAGAGUAACGAUCGUGGUUAACUGGUCCAAAAUCGGGGAUACAAGUGCGUCAGCCAUUGUUGUUCUUACUACUGAAUGUGUCAAGAAAAAGGAGAGAAAGUAAUGGGGCGUUGUUGACUGAUGAAAUGAGAAGUUGAUGAAGAUAGGAAGGAUAGUGAUCGACUGUGGAGUGCCAGAGAAAAUUAAUUUGAGGUUAUUUUCAAUGAAGUUUAGGCAAUAUAUACUGCAAAUUAAGAUAAUUUGCUUAAGACUGAUGCAAGGUUGAUGCAAGCAAAGAAUGAUUCUGAACUUCAGCAUAAAGCAGCUAAUUUCCUACAAGGUUGAUGCAAGCAAAGAAUGUCACUGAAACAACGAGAAAAUAUGCGUAAGAAGGAAAAGGAAAAGGCAAAGGUAAGUCUAGAACUAGCCAUUGCUUCACUUUGGGUUCAAGUAUAAUGCAUCAGUCAUCAGUCAUUUUCCUAUUUGUAUGUUUAUAUGGAAAUGACCUGUCGUUUUGAGUUCCAAAAGUGAAAGGCCCAUUUUUUUGCCUUAAUUUUAAAACAAAUAAAUAAUCAUUAACAUACCUAAAAAUAAAAUUUAAAAAUUAAAAGAUAAAUAUAGAUCAAGAUAUUUAAUUUUACAAGAUGAGACAUUUAUCUAUUUGCUAAAUUUUUUUAUUAAUUUUUUUUAAUUUAAUCAAACAAUAAUAAAAAUAAACAAAUAUAUUAAAUUGAUUGAAUAAAAUAAAAAGAAAACAGGAAUAAUAUGCAAGGCUACACAUAUUAGAAAUAUCAUCUAAAAAAAUUGAUUGAAUAAAAUAAAAAGAAAACAGGAAUAAUAUGUAAGGCUACACAUAUUAGAAAUAUCAUCUAAAAAUAAAUAUUUUUUAUUUUUAAAAAUACAGUUCAUCUAUACAAAAGACAAAAAAAAUUAUAAAUAAAUCAGAAAAAUCUCUUUAAAAAUUAAACAUAUAACAAAAAAAUCAAUAUUAUUUAAAAGAUACUGUCUGAACAAAAUUCUACUGUGGAGCGCAAGAGAAAAUUAAUUUGAGGUUGUUCUCAAUGAAGUUUAGGCAUUGAGAACAAAGAUCAAAUUGGAUGUUUUGCACUUUGGAGUUUGGAUAAUGAUAUUGUAAUGUUUUGAAUUAAUGAGAUAGGAAAAGCCUAGAAACCCCUUGAAGGCUUAGAUGUAGGAAUAAAUUAAAUGAGGGGUAUAGUAGUAAUUGGAUAAAUAGUUGAUAAAUAUAAAUAGGAAGUAAAAAAAUAAAAUAAAUAUAGAAAUCUGAUUUUGAGAGGAAGAGAAUCGGCAGAAGUGAGAAAGGAAAGAAGAAGAAGAGAAAAGAGGGGAAAAUAAGGGGAAAAAGGAAGAGAAUUGGAGGAAAUAAGUGAAAAAGGUAAGAUUUAGGUUGUUUAAUGUGUAUAAUAUGUUAAUUAAGUUUUAAUUUCAGUUUUAUGAAUGUUAGGGUUUUGAGAAUUUGUGUUCGAUUUAAAUGAUGAAUUAAAUUGAAGGUUAGGGGUGAUUGUUGUUGUUUAAUUGAUGAUUUAGUUGAUUAUGGAAGAUUAUGAUGAUUUGAGUUAUAGAAUUGUGUAAAUGGUGAAAAUUGAGUUAGAAAUCAGGGAGAACAGUGGGGUUUCUGUUAAAAUCUGGACUGGAGGUUGAAGAUGACGAAAAAUUCAAUUUGGUCCCUCAAUUCAGAAAAUUACAGUUAGUCCCCGAACUUUGGAAAAUUACAAAUUGGUCCCUGGAGCAUAUUCCGAGAUUCUGAACAGAAUAACAUAUGAAUUAUGGACAUAAUUACUGUAUAGAUAAGAGAAUUUAACACUUUCAAUUUAGUCCUCCAAUUUGACAAAAAGUACAAUUUGACCCUAAAAAUUUAGUAAAAUUCCAGAAUGAUCCCUGAAGCAUAAUGAUACAUCCUGGACAGAAUUGAGGAUUAAUUAAGGUCAGAAUUUCAGUAUAUUCAUGGAUUUAUGACAAAUUUCAGUUUGGUCCUCCAAUUAGACAAAAGUUACAAUUUGGCCCUAAAAAUAUGAUAAGUUCCAGAUUAGUCCCUAGCUGUAAUAUUAGCUUUUGCAGAUUAGUUUGAUGAAUAAUUAAGGGUUAUUUAGUGAAUUAUUACCAAUUUUAUUAGUUGUUUUUAUUAUGGAUUAGAUUUCGGGAAAACCGUUAGAUUUUGGGUUUUUAAGAAAAUUGACUAGUUAGUUCAAAAACAUAUAGGGUUACGGAAUACACCCUUAGUUAAGUGUAUUAAAUAUUAAAUGUUCUUUCGAGUCGUUUUUGAAUAUGUCUCCUUUGUAUUCAGAUAAUCCUGAUAUUCUACCGGCAGGACGUCAGUAGAAUUUCCUUCGGUUUCAGCUUGUGUGUGUUGUUUGCUUUUGAGUCAGGUGAGUGGAUAAUUUUCCAUAUGCAUGAGAAAUAUUAUAAAUAUUUGAUUUGUUAAUAUGAAUUGGAUCAUGCUUCUUGAUAAUAUAUAUGCUGAUUAUUAUCCUUGAUAUGAUAAAGCAUGAUCAAUUAUUGAAUCUGAUUUCUUGAUAUGAACCAAUAUGAUUUGACUUCUGAAUUGAUAGCUCCUCAUUUGAUGGAUGUCAUGAGUUGAGCUUUGAGAUAUGAAUAUGUUUGUUUGAUUAUGAUUAUGAACCUAUGGUAUGUCAGUCAGAAUACCCAUGCUAACAGGGUAGUGUUAGUCUUUGUGCACAUCGUAUCUGAACCCUAGUUGGUCGGGGGAGUCACCAACCUGUGUGGACUGAUCAUCCCACAGUACGGAGCCUCAUGCUCAUUGCAUUUUGAUUUUCUGACGAGUUUUACCAUAUGAUAUUCUUGUUAUGGCCUAUUUGAUAAACCUUCGUAUAAGAACUAAAGCCAUACUUGUAUAUAUAUUUCUCAUUGUUAUAUUACCUCGUAUGUGUAUAUUGAAUGUUAUCUACUCACUGAGUUGUUGAACUCACCCUCUCAUUAUUUAUUCUUUUCAGGCUUAUAGCUUGAUAGCGGGUUACUUUUGUUGAACCUUCCGAACCUGCUUUUGGUUGUAAUUUGUAUCUUUCUUUUUAUGUCAAGUUAGUGCUCCAAAACUAUGAAAAAUUAUUAACUCUUGUAUUAAGACAAUUACAUUAUAUUAUGAAGUUGUUUGUUGUUAAUUAUGCGUUAAACUCUGAUUGAGUUGUUUAAAGGAUUGUAUGUAAGUUUGGGUUCGCAUAGGUUUGGAACCUUGGAGGGGAACCUUGCCUAUGUGCCGGUCAUGGAUCCGGGAUUCGGGUCAUGACAGAUAUUAAUCUUUGUUGUUUGGGGAUUAAGAAUUUGGUGAUAAAUUUCUUGUUGUGAAAUAGUUAUGGUAAAAUAUAAGAUAAAUCCUAGUGAACACGUCUUCCCAAAAUACACUGCGUGUACUGGACUCUCAAUGUUCAUUUUUGCCUCAUUUUGCCUUAAUUAAUUUUAACUGCAAAACAACUAGCUCAGUACCGCACCAGCAAACGAGAAUGGAAAAGCUCACCAAGAUGCCCUCAAAUUAAUGGAGUCAAUGGAGAAAAAAACUGGAGCUGCUGGAGGCCAGACGGCACAUGGUGGAAUAGUUCAUGCCCUGGCAUGCGUCAUCACUGUUCCACCAUGUGCCGUCGCGACCUCCAUUGAACAACAAUGAAAAACAUAUACGAAUUUAGCUUCAUGUCUUUAUAAGAGAAUUUCAUAAACAUACCAUAACAAAAAAUAUCAUAAAAUAAAUCUCUUAAAAAAUAAAAAUACAAUAAACAUGUAGGUUCAUAUUAUAAGAUAAUCAGUUUAUAUAAAUUGUUGACACCCCCAAUCAAUUAAGGAUCAAAUACGAUAUAUAUAAAUAUUAACAAUUAACAAGAUCUUAUUAGCAUGAAUAUUCUAACUAUUAUAUCAUAGGGUUAUAAUCAAACGAACAAAAUCAUUUUCUAAAAGCUCAACUCAUAUAAUUAAUUAAAUAAAAAACUAUCAAUUUAAAAAUACAUAAUUGCUCAAAUCAAGAAAUCUAUCUCAAUAAAUAAUAAUGUUUUAUAGAACAACAGAUAAUAAAUAUUAUAUAAAUUACUAAGAAGUACUAUCAAUUUAAUAUUAAUAAUUUGACUAUUUAUACUACUCCUCUGCAGCAUAUGAGAUAGUAAGUGAUAGAAUGGUCCCCAUGUUAUGGUUUAUAUUUUGCUUUAAACAGAGUAUAGUUGUACUAAAAAUACACCCCUUUCCCGAAAGGAAGGGGAAGAACACAAUCAAGGGAUUUCUUGUUGUUUGACUUCUCAUGUUUCUCUCCCACCACGGGCAACUGUUUAUUUUCGCCAAGGUGAAUUGAGGCUUCAAGUAGAAGAAAUUAUUUACUGGUUAGAAACUUGGUCGAUUUCACUGUUGUCUUUGAGACAAAUGAAACUGAGGUUUUUGGUUUGCAAUUUGGGCAGAUAAGGAUAAUCCUUAUUGUUUGGUGUUUGAGAAUUUGGUGCUAAAUUUCUUGUUGUAAAUUGCAGAAAAUAGUCAGGGUAAAAAUUUAAGAUGAAUGCUAGGGUACACAUCUUCCCAAAAUGCACUGGGUUCUGGAUUCUCAAUGUUCAUCUUGCAGUUUGACAAGAGAAUCUUUCCUUCACUUACACUAUCUUUUUGUUUGUUUGGCCGAUGCAUGAUUUUUUUACCUCAUUUUUCCUUGAUAAAUUCUAACUACAAAACAGCUACUUCACCAACAAGAUGGAAAAGGCUCACCAAGAUGUUCUCUUUGAAAAGAUUCUCAGUGAGUCGUUGACAUCUCAUUUUUGGAAUUUCUCCAAUAGCUUGAUGUCUACUCUCACUAUAUUGAGUAGGAUGACUAUAGAAUUACUCUGAUUUAUCAACACAUAUCAAAUUCUUGCUGCUGCUGAGGAAGAUAUCUGCACUUAGCCAUCAUAGAGGGUAGCGAAUUUUGUGUUGAUGGAAAUUACACUGACUCAUUGUGUACCAUCUAGAAUUCAAUUUUAAAAAAAAUUGCAAGAAAUGUUGUUUUUUCCUAAAUACAUCAAUCGGGUGUGGAUAGCUUGAUUAAAAUGCGACUUACUAAAAAGUCUUGGUCUUAAUAUGCAAAGAUGAUCCAAGUAUACCAUAUUUCUUUUAAAAUAAAACCCACAGAUCUAGUCCACGCAAAGGUACUGGAAUAUGGAUUUGUAAAAAUAAAAAUGAAAAUUUAUACGAAAUUGAAUUGUGCUAAAAAAACCCACAGAUCUAGUCCAUGAUCUACGGCUCCUCCAGAGUUCCGUAGUGGUGUCUUUCUCAACUAUUCUUUAAAUAAAAUGUGUGGGAUGUGAGAAAUCUUGUGCCUAUCUUCACCCCUCUCCUCCUUCCCGUAACGUUUCCUUAGAGAAUUUAUGUAGAGGCGCUGUCAAAACAUAGUCCGGUAGUGCUCUCAACAAUGGGCAUUUGAGAAUUCUAAACUCAACAAGUUGUGGCAUGAUGAAUAUUGAAGUCGUGGUGGAAUCUUCUUCUCCCACUCUCCUUUCAAUCCCAUCCCACUCCUCUAGUUCUUUGAGAUGCCAUAUGCUAAGUCUUUUCAAUUUGGGGAAAGCAGCGACUCUUGCAAUUUCUCCUUCAUUAAUAUUGGUAUUGCCACCAUUUUCUAUGCCUAAAAAUCCACCAUCCAACCUUCUCAGCUUCAUGCUCAUCCAUCUGAAAAUCUUGGAAGAAAGAACGUGCUACUAAGACUUGAAAAUACUCCUCUCCAACAAGCUCCAUACCUCUACUUGGAGUCUCCUUAAGAUAACCUUGAGCCAUCCACAUCUUCACCAACUGGUCUUUUUCCAUCUCGUAGUCUUUUGGAAACACCGUCUUGCCACAGAAGGUAAAUCGUAGUAACUCAAAAGCGGAGGUGGAAAUAGUGCUAUUUCAACAUGUUCUAGCUCCCACAGUUCGCUAGAUAAAACAUGUUCCCACUCUUCUCUUGUUCUUUUACACUGCACUAGACCUCCUAAUACCUUGGCAGCUAGAGACAAGCCCUUGAACUUGCUUGCAAGGAGAUCCCAGGAAGGAACAUCGUAUCUGCUGUAGGCUGUGAGUAUUUUCUUCAGCAUCCCUCAUUUUUCAUGUAAGAAUUGCAGAGCUCCAUUCAUCUAGCACAUCAUCGAUAUCAUAGCAUACAUCUUUGAGCUUGUCUAGCCAAUCUCUUGCAACCUUAUCCUUCACUUGCUUUCUAUCUGCAUCUUCAAGGACAGAUUGGAUAGCAAGGAGAUUGCUUUUCAGCUUGUCGACACACCCCCUACUAGGUUCACCUCUUCCUGUACCUAUUGGUGCAGAAAAGAUAAGAAAGUUGAAGCAGAGGAAACAUUUCUAUGAUUUCUUUAAACAGUAUCUCACAUAAUUUAAUCUCCUGAACUACUAACUAAAGUGUUGAGAGCCAAUUUAAGUUCUCAAGGCUGAAGACCCCAACUAGACUACUGUUACCUAGAAUUCAUUUUACCUACAAUACUCAGUAUGUGUGGCAGAAAAUCGCAAUACCUAAAUGGCUGAAUUUACAAGUAUAUCAAUCAAUUAUGUAAUGAACCGGGUGCAAGUGCAUGGCGCAAGUAUAUUAAACCUACUGAAUUUUUCUUCUACUUUUUAUAUACCAAACCUUGUAAAAAACACCACUGCUCAAAUUCAAAAAUAAAAAGUGGAGGAAAUUUUAAAGUGAUGUACCCCUCUUUGAGUGUCAAGAUAGCGGUGUGUACAGCAUCAUCAAGCUCCAUAUCAUCAGUGUAUCUACAGAGCACAUAUUAAGUUAGGGAAAACAAAAGUUGUUCAAAUCAAAUGAAGAUAUGUGGACAAAAAACAAAAAUAUUUACCAUGUUUCUGUCCAUUCAAUUCUUUUUUUCUCACUUUCUUUUUCUUUUUUCAAAAAAAAGAAAGGCAAUCCAAUUCUUCUUGGAUGGGGUGUAGCUCAAAGUAAGCUGGCAGUUGAAAAUUGAAGGUGGCUUGAUCUUUGAAUGAAGAAUAUGUUUGGCAGUUGAUGGCUGGAGGUGGAAACACAUUUGUUGCUAGCUAGGAGAACCCAUGAAGAUGUUUAGAAGUUUUUGCAGAAUCAAUGCAUUUCAUGGUACCAAAAACAAAUAAAUACCUCUUCUCAAGAAAUGUUUUUGCAUUUGAAACAUUUUUCCCCAUUGCUGAGGCUUUCCAUGAGAAGUAGGAACCUGAUGGAUCGACCUAGCCAAACAAAUACAAAACAUAACAUCAUCGAAAAUGACAAGAAAAUGAGAAAAAAAGAAGAAGAGAGAGAGCUUAAAUUGCAACAACAUUUGAUUCCGAGAGAAGUUUGGCCUGAUCCAACGGCAGUCAAUGCGUGCUCAAUCUGUACUGGCUUUCCGGUAGGACUGAAAGUAGUGAGAGAAAAGGAGUACUGGCUAUCACCCAUGGUUUAUUGCUUGAAGACGCAGAGAGGAAAAACUGAGAAUGCGAGCGUGUGGGAGAGAAAGGCAGGGAUAUUUACUUGGGGUUUUAACUUUGCUUUUCUCGUUGGAGAAGAAGGUGUUUUCUUACGAGGGCUUUUACAAUGGAGUAUAUUGGGCUUUUAUGACGGCAGGUUAGUCCUCUUUACAUUGAGCUCAGUGAAGGCUCGGAACCAGUUUUGUUUUUAAGAAUUAUUAACAAAUUUUAUUUAUUUAUUAAUAUACAUAAUUUUAAUUUAUUUAAUUACAUUUAUAUAUAAAAUUUUUAAUUUAUUAUAUUUUUUUGAACUAGAAAAAUAUAUUUAAAGAACUGCAUGUAUAAAUGUUUAUAAAAAAUAAAAAUAUUUGACUCACAAUAAAUCAUCCAUACUCUUAUAAAAAAGAUGAGUUGCUGCUGAAUUUUGUUGUUGAUUUGUAAUUUAAUUAUUGUUGAAGAUUUUCUGUGUUAGGUUUGGAUAACUUUAUUUGGAUUUAAUCCACUGAAACUGAGGUUUAAGAAUUUCUUGGAUUUAAUCCACUGAAACAGUUGCUUGAUCAAGAUCAUUGGCUUGUUUGUAGGCAGAUAAAGGCAUAAAAAAAAAAACAAAUAUCAUCUUAGAUUAAUUAUAGAUAUGAGUUACAGUAGUUGAAAUUUGAAAGGCAAUUUUUUUAGCGUGGCAUUUGGAGAAUUUAAGUAAGGAAUAAGCUUCACGUGAGCGAGUUAAUAUCACAGCUGCAUUUGAUAGAUUAAAUGAUAAGUAGGAAAUAAAAUCGAAUUACAGUAAAGUUUGAAUGAAAUCCUCCAUGUAAGUAAAGAGGUCACAUAGAGUAAAUAGUAAGGCUUACAUAUUAUUUACAUUCAACCUUAGCAAACACCAAAGCAAAUAAUUAAUACACUCAGAACCAAAUCUUUUACCGUAGAAGAAUUUACUUGUUCCUGCCGGUCCAACAGACUUCCGUACGUUGUGGUGUCCCAUAGAUAUGAUCACUAAAACGAAUGUUUGGGAUGUGAGAAAUCUUUUGCCAAUCUUCACCCAUCUCCUCCUUCCCGUAACGUUUCCUUAGAUUGGGGCACCUUUGUAUGUAUAAUUCCUGUAUAGGCGCUGCCAAAACAUAGUCUGGUAGUGCUCUCAACAACGGGCAAUGACGAAUUCUCAACUCUCGAAGUUGUGGCAUAAUGGAUAUUAUUGAAGUUGUGUUGGCAUCUUCUUCUCCCACUGAUCUCCUUUCAAUUCCAUCCCACUCUUCUACAUCUCCGAGAAAAAAAAACGUAAGUGUUUUUAAUUUGGGGAAAGCAGUGAUCCUUGCAAUUUCUCCUUCAUUAAUACUGGCAUUCUCAUCUUUUUCUAUACCUAAAAAUCCAGCAUCCAACCUUCUCACCUUCAUCAAAAUCAAAUCCAGGCUUUCAAGGUGGGGCAAUCUUCCCAACGGAGGCAAGACCUCCAGCUUUGUACAAUUAUCCAGUCUAAGCGCCUGUAAUCUGGUUAAUGUCAUCAUCCAAUUUGGCAAAUCCAACCCUCCGUACCCAUAUAUGCUUAGAUUUUCCAAGUCUGGCGGAGGCUGUAAAGCUUCAAUUAAAAUGCCGUUAUCCUGGUUGUGGUUGAAAUACAAUUCCAAACGAAGCAGGCGCUUCUUAUUCUUGAGUUGUGCUUCUGCAGCGUCACUCGCAUCUUCUUUACCUCCUCCUAGCUUCCGUAUCUCAAGACUCCCUCCAAUGUGAUUUAAGUCUUUUAAAUCUCUUAGAUUAGCUGCUUUACUUUCAUUCUCACCACCACCACACACACUAAACACAUCUAAUGUUUGAAGACAUGUUACCCUCUCUAUUCCCUUUGGUAUGAAGGCCACUCUUGAACCAUAAAUCCGGAGAUGCCUCAAUUUGAUAAGUUUUCCAAUCGCCUUGGGCAAUUCCUUGAGAGACCAACACCAAAUAACGUCUAGGGAUUGUAGAUUGCAUAAAUCACACAUGGUUUCUGGCAGGGACUCCAACUCUCCACAGGCUACCAAAUUGAGGUGUCUCAAAUGUAUCAAUUUCCCUAACUCCUUUGGUAUUUCUUUGAUUGAAGACCUUGACAAAUUCAAUGACCUGAUGCAUGUCAACUGUUUGAACAAAUCAGGCAGUGCAGCUCCAAGCGAAGGGUCUCUAGUGUCGAUCAAGAGGCUGCGAAGACCUUUUGCUUUGUGAAUGGACACGGGAAAAGAGGUCUCGUUGGGCAGCAUCAUGCUUAAAUGACGAACCCUUUCAAUUGAAGUCUCCAUUGUUGCUUCUCCAAGUUUACUGGCAUCCACUGUUAGACAUUCAUUUUUUGUCAUAUAUUGGGCAAAAUCAUGCACUAUAUCAUGCAUCUUGAAUCUAAUAUCUUCUCGACCAUACGUCUUAAAAUCUUGGAAGAAAGAGCGCGCUGCUAAGACUUGAAAGUACUGCUCUCCAAUAGCCUCCAUAUCUCCACCUGAAGUCUCCUUGAGGUAACCUUGAGCUAUCCACAUCUUCACCAAAUCAUAUUUGCGCAUCUCGUAGUCUUUUGGAAACAUGGCACAAUACAAGAAACAUCGUCUUACCACAGAAGGUAAAUCGUAGUAACUCAAAAGCAAAGAUAGAAAUAUUCCUCUUUCAACCUGAUCUCUAUCAACCUCAUCUAGCCCCCACAGUUCGCUAUAUAAAACACGCUCCCACUCUUCUCUUGUUCUUUUAAACUGCAUUAGACCUCCUAAUACCUUGGCAGCUAGCGGCAAGCCCUUGCACUUGUUAGCAAUUUUAUCACCGAUAUCUGUCAAUCUUUCACGCUCAUCUUUGCUUCUUUCCUGGAAUGCCACAUGAUUGAAUAUUGACAUGCAUAUCUCAUCAGACAAUUUCUCAACAUUGAUCUGGUGGUCAGUUCCCAUAAUCGUUGCCACAGUGCCCUUACGAGUGGUCACUAGAAUUCUGCUUCCUCGUGCACAGCCUGUGAAAGAUGGUUUCAGUUGUUCCCAUUGCCUAUGAUUGUCUGUCCAUACAUCAUCAAGGACAAGAAGCAACCUCUUUCCCUUAAUGGAUUCAGAAACCAUUUGCAAAAGGGAUUGCAAUUCAAUCAAAUUCGGUUCACUCCCUUGAAGCUGCUCAAGGAUAGCUUUUGCUAUUCUAACCUCAUCAAAUGGUUCUGAAACACAUACCCAUAUCUUUUUCUCAAAAUGAGCCGUUACCUCAGCAUCCUUAAAAGCUAGUUGGGCGAGAGUUGUUUUUCCAAUUCCGCCCAGCCCUACUAGAGUGAUGACAUCAACGUCCCGUGCUUCCUGACUACUUUCACCCACCAACUUGCUUACAAUAGUUUUCUUUUCAACAUCUCGACCAAUCACGCUUGAUUCAUCAACAAAGGAGGUACUUGUUAGUCGUUGUAGUUCAUCAGUGGCUCUGUACAGAUCAAAGCCAUACAUAACUCUCUCUUUGGCAAUGUCAUCCACUUUUUCACAUACUUCUUUGAUCUUAAAGGCAAUGUCGCGACGUCGAACCACUUGAUUGAGACAAAAGCGAGGAGAUCUCAGGAAGGAACAUCGUAUCUUCUGUAGGCUGCGAGUAUUUUCUUCAGCUUCCUCCAUUUUCCAUCUAAGAAUUGCAGUGCUCCAUUCAUCUAGCACGUCAUCCAUAUCAUAACAUGCAUCUUUGAGCUUGUCUACCCAAUCUCUUACAGCCUUAUCCUUCACUUGUUUUCUAUCUGCAUCUUCAAGGACAGAUUGGAUAGCAAGGAGAUUGCUUUUCAGCUUGUCACAUUGUUUCUUCACACCCACUACUAGGUUCACCUCUUCUUGUACCUAUUAGUGUACAAAGGAAAAGAAACGCUAAGCAUGGGAAACAUUUCUGUGAUUUCAAGACAAUUUCACACCCCCUACUAGGUUUACCUCUUCCAAUACCUAUUAUUGUAGAACAGACAAGGAAGUUCAAGCAUAGGAAACAUUUCUAUUUUGUAUUAAUAUAUUUUAUUGUGAAAUGGAUUUACUAUAUUAAUAUUUUAUAUAUAAUUAAUAUAGGCAUGAAAAGAGUUCAAUAUUCUCACGAGAGAAGUAAUAUUUCUCCUUUGAACCGACAUAAAAUCUGGUUUUCAUUUUACAUUAAACUAUAGAUAUAUGGAUGUAUAAAGGCAAGUGAAUAAAAGGAUCUGCAUGUAUAUAUUUGUGAAGUCAAUUUAGAAAUAAAGGCAUGAUAAUAAGAUUGUGUGAUAACUAUAUAGUUUUAAUUCACACCAAAUACUCACUCGCUAAUCCUUUGAACUUUUUAUUGAUUAUUUUACCUUUAAUAGUUCAGUUUAAAGAGAAUUGGCAACUCUUGUUUUGUCUUUUUUGGUUUUCUUAUAUUUGGAAUGAUAUAUUUUCUUUAUGUUAUUUUUAGAAAUAUAAAAAAUAAUAAAACUAGAAAAAGAAGUCUUUAAUAAAAUCGAAAUAUAUACUUGAGGAUUUAAAAUAUUAUUUUUAUUUUUUCAAGUUAAAAGUAUUCAUUUUAUGAGAGGAAGAUAAAAGGCUUGAACUUUAUAUAUAUUUCUUAUCUUUGCCAGGUAAAUCAGGUUAUUGCAGAUGGCAGAAAAAUACCUGUUGAGCAACGAUCGUGGUUAAGUGCUCCAAGAUCGGAGAUAGAAGUGCCUCAGCCAUCGUCUGUUUAGUUCUGAUUGGAGAGAGAGAAGCAGUGAUGAUAGGAAGACAGAGAGAAAGAGAGGGUGAAGGGAAGGAGGCGGCUGAUUGUGAAUGGAAGUUAGUUUAUAUACUUAGGGUUUGGCGUUGCAGGUGAAGCUUUUGUAUUUUAGUGUCUCCACAUUUUCUUAUUAGUAUUUGUAGGGACAGGGUAAAGGGAGAUCAGCGCACCUUGUAAUUUUAGCUGGCAGUAAACCUGAAGCAUAGUUUUAAAACCCGGACCGGCCCGGCGGGUCGAUCUGGGACCGGUUCGGGUGAAGGCCAAAACCCGUUUGGAAAUUGACCCGGCUAGACCGGGGACCUGGUUGACCCGGCAAGACCCGGUCUCAAACCCGUUGACUUUUAUUUUUUUUUGUUUUUUUUUUUUUGCUAAAACGACGUCGUUUUGAUUUUUUUUAAAAAAAAUAAAAAAUAAAUUUUGACCCGGCCGACCCGGUCAAGACCCGAUGACCAGGUCAAAACCAGGAACCCGGGCCUUGGACCGGGCCGACCACCGAGCCGGAUCUUAAAACUAUAACCAGAAGUAAUGAGAAAAUAAUUUUAGCCAGCCGGCCCAAUCUAUUUUAGGCUAAUAGUGUGUUAGGCAAAACACAUAUAAGCCUUAUCCCUUUAUUUUAUUAUUUUUUAUUUUAAUAUUUAGCUAAAUAAUUUUUUUUGAAAAUCAAAAAUCAUUAUGAAUGUUUUUGAAUUUAUUUAUGGGUUUCUUUUUUUAUUAUUAUUCAUUGUAUAUUUGUAUAUUUGAUUUUGUGGAUUUUUAUGGUGGAAUGUAAAUAUAGUAUACGAUACAUUUGUUUCUCUUAAAAAAAUAUGUAUGUUUUAAUUUAAAUUCAUUUUAUUCAUUAAUCUAACAACUAUGUAAGUUUCUAGUGACCUUAAGAUUUGUGAGACUGGAACUAGUAAUUUGAGGUUCAACAUCCCAGGUCGAGAAUUAGGUCUUAAUAUGGAAGGGUUAAUCUAGGUUAACCUAAUUUUUUUAAUAAAAAAAUUAAAAUAAUAUCGUUUUGACCGAAUUUUUUUUUUCCAAAAACAAAACUACCAAUAUUUAAACAAGUUUUACUUGAGUCUAUCGGGAUAUUUUAACCAGGUCAAACCAUAUUAAUUCUUUUCUUUAUUAUAUUUUUUUGAAGUUCUUACCUUUAUUACCAAAAAAAUCCCCUUAAUUUCAGAGUCCUUACAUCUCUAAUUAAUUAUAAUUACCUUACCAGUCAUAAUGUUCUUUUCUGUACCUGAUGAAUGAUAUUAUUUCUGAGAUUUUUGAACAUGUAAUGACGGAAGCCUGCGCUGGGCUGGUUCCCUUUGUUACGUUGCUGGAGUCGCAAUGUUUCGAGGUAUCAGACCAAAUUAAUUCUCUUGCUUUUUGCAGCAAAGCUGUAUCUCUUGCUACUUGCUAGAAGCGUAAUCUCAGGAUACCACUGUUUUGGUGUUGCCUCUCUCACCAUUGUUAUUAGGUUGAAUUAAAUACCAGAAGAUUUCUGAGUAUGCAAUGACUGUAUGAUUUAACUAACCAAUACACUAUCAAGGGUGUGGCGUAUGAACUUCAUGCGCCGGCGUGUGUCACCACCGUUCCACCGUGUGCCGUUGCGGCCUCCCCAUUGAAGGUCCAAUUUUCAAGCUCACAAGCAUGACAUCUUUAAACCUUACUUGAGGUUCAACAUCCUAGGUCAAGAAUUAAGUCUAGCAUGAAAGGUUAAUCCAAGUUAAUUUAAUUUUUUUUUAAAAAAAAAAUUAAAAUAACAUAGUUUUGAUUGAUAUUGAUUUUUUCAAAAAAAAAAAAUCCAACAAUAAUUAUAUUUUAACCAGGUCAAUUCAUAUUAAUUCUUUUCUUUAUUAUAUUUUUUGAAGUUCUUACCUUAAUUACCAAAAAAUAUCCACUUAAUUUUGAGAUAUAUUCAAUUUGGUUUUGUAAACAGUACCUUAACAUAUUUUGAUUGAAAUUGAUUUUUUUUUUAAAAAAACCCAACAAUAUUUAAAUAAGUUUUACUCGGGUCUACCAAGAUGUUUUAACCAGGUCAAGGCAUAUUAAUUCAUUUUUUAAAUUAAGUUCUUACCUUAAUUACCAAAAAAAAAAUCAGCUUAAUUUUGAGAUAAAUUAAAUUUGGUCCUAUAAACAGUACAUUUUAUUUAGUUGAUCCAUCGAAUAUCUGGUGCUAUUCAAUUCAAUUUAACCAAACUUUUAUUUGGUUGAGAAGAAUUUGACAAUCAGAAUCCUGUAAUAUUGAUGAUGGCUCUUGAACUGGAAACCAUGUUUAUAUCGCAGAUAUAUUCUUGGACACCAUUCAUAUAAAGGUGAACAAUUAAGCACUCUCAAAAACCAAAUCAUAGGGAAGAGCUCAUCAACUCGAGCGCCACCAGAGAUUUACAUUUGCAUGUGAGUUGGGAUGCAAGAAUCAAUGAUUCUUAUGAGGCUGAUCACACAAUUCUAUGUGAAUUUGGGUGCGCAAUACUUUUAAGGAGAGAACUCAUCCUAGUCCAAGCACAUUAAACUUCGGAAUUCUUAUGGCAUAAGGUGUACGAUACUAAAUACACAAGUCCUAGUUAAUAUCCUCUACCAUGCAAUGCAGUGGUUCAGUCGCACCAUUUCAAAUUGUUAUUAUGUCUAUAAUCUAUGUUCAGGUACUGCAAUCUAUCUUGAAUUCAUGGUCUUCACUUAAUAACAAGUUUGGUCUGGAGAAUCCUUUAACUUGAAAGGGGACUUGUCUUUUACUUGUAGAAAUGCCAACAUUAAAUUGUUAAUAUUAAAUUUUUUUCUAUUUAGUUAUUAAACUUUCAUGACACGGAUUCCGGGUUUGACAGGUUAACCUGGUUUGACGAGUUAACCCAGUUAAUUCUGGGCUAACCCAUUAAUUUGUUUUUUCCUUUUUAAUUAUCAAACUUUCACGAUGUGAAUUCAAGGUAUGAUGGGUUAAUCUGGUUUGAAAGGUUAACCCAAUUAAUUCAUAUUUUUUUUCUUUUUUUUCAUUAGUUUUUUUUUUCUGUUGGUUUUUUUCUUUGUUUUUUUCUUUUUAACUAAUCUAUUUAAUUAUCACACUUUUAUGACACGACCUUGCAGCCAGAUCUACGUCCAAUGCUAUUGGGUAUAGUAUUGUAGUGCAUACACUUUUAUGCUAAGAGUUAACCCAAGUUUAAUGUUAUUAUUAAUAUUAUAAAUAUUACUCUUGGAUCAGGCGUUGCAACUAAAUCUAAAAUUCUUGGAUAUAACUUUGUAAAAAAACCUAAUAUUUUUAGAUCUUGGCUUUUUUUUAAAUGUAAAAAAUAAUUAACCUAUGGCAUCGCGCGGGGCAUGUAACUAGUAAUUUCUAAAAGGAAACUCAUCCUAAACUUCGGAAUUCUUAUGAAUUAAGUGUACCAGGCUAAAUAUCCUCUACCAUGUAAAGUAGUGAUUCGGUCGCUCCAUUUCAAAGUAUUUUUAUGUCUAGAAUUUAUAUGUUUUGGUAACUUUUUUUUUUUUCUGGGUGUUCAUGGUCUUCACUUAAUAAAAGGUUUGGUCUGGAGAGUCCUUGAACUUAAAAGGGGCUGUGAUGGCAUUUGGAAGGCACACGUACUGGGGGACUUGUCUUUUACUUGCAGAGAUCAUAUCCAUUGGUGAACAUUUUUCGCGUUAGGUUUGGAUAACUUUAUUAUGAUUUAAUCCACUAAAUCAAUGUGUAUCAUGUUUAAAAAAGAAAAAAGAAAAAACAGAGAGAGAGAGACGAUGUGAGAAUAAAUGGGAAGUAGGAAAUAAAAUCCAAGUCAACAAUAGAUUACAAAUGAUUACAAUCCAAUUACGGUAAGGAGGUGUAUGAAACAAACGGUGCUUAAUACAACACUGAAUGAAAUCCUCCAUUUGAUUAUACCAGAAUGCCCUUCGAUUUGAUUCCAAAAAUAUGAAGGGAAAAUCUUCAAAUGCACAAAGUAAAUCGGAACCCACAGUGAAGUAGCUCUUCAGUAUCUUCUAAGCCCAAGCUGUCAAACACAGACCAAAAGCAAACGUGUCAUAACCAAAAUAACCCAAUGAAUGGUAGAUGUUAAAAUGAGCAUUCCAUUUUCUGAAUGAAAAAAAUCCCAGUGACCUAGCUAUGACUUACAUAAUUAAUUAAAAUGGAUUUGUUAAAAUAUAGUAAAAUAUUAUACCGUUAAGAAUUAACACUGGUAGAAGAAUUUGUUGGGCGGAAUCCAGCGAUCGGUGAUGAACUGAUUAUUACUUAACGGAGGGGCAAGCACACUGACAACAAUAUUUUACGUGGUUCGGCAAAAUCACCUACAUCCACGGGAGAGAGUCCAUUUAUUAGAGAUUAGAAAAAGGAUAUAAUAAAUAUAUAGAGGAGGAUCUAAUCACUCAACUCCCAUCUCUCUUGCUGUCCUUGCAGCUGCUGCAAUGGCUGCUGCCAUUGCAGCUCUCUUUUUCUCUCUAUCCUCUUACGUUUCUCACACACUCCUCACCAGAUUUAGCUCUCUUUGCAUGCUUCUUUUAUAGGCAAUGAAUGGUCAUCAUGGAGGGGCCAACAUGCCACCAUUAGUGGCACUAAUGGAGCAACCACUUGCUUGGUGGUGGUGGCCACUUGCUUGGUGGUGGGGGUAUUGCCAAUAAAUGGCAAUAUCCUAACAGAAUUUACAUGCUCCGUCCGGUUCUAAUUAAAGAGUUCUGUCUUUCUCACCUAUAAUAAUAUAUCAUGAAAAUAAAUGUUUGGGAUGUGAGAAAUCUUUUGUCAACCUUCACCCAUCUCCUCAUUCCCGUAACUUUUCCUUCGAAUGCGGCAACCACUUAUGUAUAAUUCCUGUGGAAGGGCUGCCAAAACAUAAAAGCUGUCCCGUUUAUGUUGGAUUAUGCAAACAUGGAGGUAUCUAUAUUGAUUCUGAUAUCACAGUCUGAAUUUAUUGUCUUCCGUUAGUAAAUCUAUUGGUCUGAAGAAUCCUCUGUCUGGAAGUUCUUUGAAUGGGGCUGUGAUGGCAUUUAGAAAGCACAGGCACCAGGGGGCUUGCCUUUCACUAGCAGAAAUCAUAUUUAUUGUUGAAGAUUUUUUGUGUUGGGUUUUGAUAACUUUAUUUGCAUUUAAUCCACAAAAUCGAUGGGUAUCAUCUCUUUUAGAUGAAUGGUUUAGCUUCCAAGUCUACCAUUCUCUCAUUUAUUUGGACUUAAUCCACUGAAACUGAGGUUUUAUUUGCGCGGAUAAUGAUAAUAUUUGGUGCUAAAUUUCUUGUUGUGAAUUGCAGAAAACAGCUGCUUGAUCUUCACUAGGAUGGUGGUUGCAAAUAAUAAUUAUGCAACCCGGUACGAGUUGCAUGUUAAAUAACUAGUGUAUAUGUAGAUACAGAUGAUGGUAUUUUUUUUUUAUAAUGACCCGUCCGUGUCGUUGUAAGAGGGGCCACCGUUGAUUGUGCCUUGGCCAUGGAGUGAUAUUCCACGCACCACCAACACUGUUCAAGAGCCACACGAACAUGGAGGAAUUACAGGGGCUGGCAGGGGCAGGGUCCUGCAAGGUUUUUUUUUUCUUCAAUAAAUUAGAUUUUUAUCUUUAAAAAUAUAAAAUUUAAAAUUUUGGCCCUCCCUCUAAAAUCUUUUAUCUAAUUUGACAUUCCCAAACUACAAUUCCUAACUCCGUUGCUUACUAUACACACGAAGUCAUUGUUUUAUGAUGAAAAAAUAAUAAAUUUUUUCUUCUUUUCUUGUAUUUUUAAAUUUUGGUUUUCUUUUAUCUUAGAUUUUAUGAAUGAUGAAUUCCAUAACAAGGAUGAUACAUGCCCAUUAAUCAUACAUGUCAUUAAUAACUUUAAAACAUAGACACCUAAUGGUGAAAAUUAUAGAUACAACCAUCAAUUAAAAAAUAAAAACAGCGAUUAAAUAUAUAAAAAAAGUAAUGGAAGUACAAGAAAUAAAAUAGAAAAAUUAAAAUUAGAGACACUUCCAUUGAAAAAUAUAAAUAAUUAGAGGCCCUGAAAACACUAUACACACACACAAGAUUAAGCGCAUUGAAUAAACAACAUGGAUUGUUGGAGUGGCUGUUUUUCCAGGCCUUGGUGAGGUGGUGCAAGUAAAUGAAUUCACACCAAAUACUCACUCGCUAAUCCUUUUCAACUUUUUAUUGAUUAUUUUACCCUUAAUAUUUCAGUUCAAGGAGAAUUGGCAACUCUUGUUUUGCCUUUUUCGGUUUUCUUUGUUAAAACUUCCUAAUCGUGUAUACGAGCAUAAAAGAAUAAUAAUAAUAAUAACAACAACAAUAAAAAUAAUUACUGCAUUAAUUUUUCUCGGAAAAUGUUUUGAUGGGCACCUUUACAUAUUUUCCAUAGAAAGUGUCUAAGAUGCUCUAUGAUAAGAUUUCAAUCCAAUUAAAUAUUUUACAUAUUCAUGGAAAAUCCUCUCCUUGAAUUCUUUUUGCCUUUAUAUCAUAAAUUUUUUAAAAAAACCCUAUUCAUGUUAAAACAAACUUUUCUAUUUUAAUUUUUAAAAAUAGAAUGUUUAAUAAGAGAUAUUAUUAAAUAAUCAUAUAAUAUUAUAAAUAUUAUUAUUAUGAAUUUCACUUUUCACAUGAACAAGAAAGUAUUGCAUUAAAAAUAUCUAAUGAUAAUAAAAUUCUCUUAUUAUACAAGGUAAUUAAAGUUUUUUUAACUCAAUAUAUGUUGAUCAAUACAUGGAUGUAAUUAUCCUGUUAUUUGUGGAUAUCAUUAAAUAAUUAGUAAAAAAAAUAGGUUUUCAUGAUUAGAAAAAUAAAGAAACUUUGAAAAAAAAGAGACAAAAAAAGACAUAAUAUUUAAUGUCUUUGAUUAUUUAUUUAAAAAUUGAUAUUUAUUAACAUUUUGAUACUAGAUAAAUGGGGGAUCUAAUCGGAAAUGUAUUUUGUCUGUAACCCAAAUGAGAAUAAAAAGAUAAUCGGAGGAAAAACAAGUUGUCCUUUUCCCAAAAUAAAAAUAAAAGAGAGGAUAUGGUGUGGACAUUGAGAAAACAAUCAUUUUCAAUAACAACUGAUUAUAGUCAAUUUCAUCCAAAUACUUAUCUCUUGGAAUGGUGUUUUUUUUUUUUUUUUUGUAAAAAAAUCAUUUCCUAUAAUAGUAUUCCAUGCUAAUACAAGAGUUCGGAGGUUUGAUAUAAUAUAAAUAUGAAUCACAUUAAUUAUUUAAUUCCAUCCUAAUAACUGAAAUCCUUUUCUUUUGAGUUCUAUGGACCUGAUCAAGGAACAUUAAUCAUGCAGGAAGAGCAGGCCUCCAUGCCCUUAUGCAUUGUUCUGAUUACAGUGGUAACCUGUUCAAUUUGAUCUUCGCUUGAGCAUGCUGAUAGAAGUACUUUGGCAGUUCCUCCAUCAGGGUGACAUCCAGCAUCGAUCAUUUCUUCAAAGAUUUCCAAGCAUCUUGCGUAUAGUUUCUUUCUAGAGUAGGCUCCCAAUCUUGAAGUCCAAGUCACAACAUCAGGUUUCAGAUUUUUGGUUGGAAGUGAUUGGAAAAUACCUUCCAUUCUCUCGAAAAAUCCUGCUCGUCCAUAUAUGUUGAUUAAGAUGUUGUAUGUACUGAUAUCAGCUCCAUAAGGUCCCUUUUCCAUUGCAGUUAGAACUUCCUCCAUCUUUUCAAAUUGGCCAAGCCGGCCAUACAAGUGCAUCAUGCUGUUGAGGACAAACGUGUCUGGUUCAAGCCCAGAUUCGCUCAUCUGGUUAACAAUUUCUUCGCAUUUAUCCACAUUUCUUGCCCUUGAGUAGGCACACAGAAGUAGCAUGUGUGAUUUCAUUGUAGGGGUUAUUCCUAGUCGCUUCAUCUCAUUGAAUACCGCUUGAGCAUCUAAAAAACAUGAAGGAGCAGCCAAAUCAUUAAGCCAAAACUUCAUUCAAGGAGCAUAUACGAAAAACAAGAGGAAUUUCUUCUAAGCAAGGAAAGGUGUCGCAAAUGGAUGAAAUGCUGAUAGCCUGAUAAUAUCUCAUACAACUUUAUCUUGUUUCCUAGGAAAUCUUAGAAAUAUUGUGGAAGAUCUCCAGAAUAAAAUUGAACACUGUUCCAAAAUAUAAUCCAAAUGUUGCAAUAUAGAUCCCUUCAAGUUCGUAGUUGAUCCGAACGUUUUUAAACCAUUACAUGCUCAAAAUGUUCCCAAAUUCUCUGGAGCUUAAUCUUUCCCCAAUUCUCACUUAAUAAAGUACAUUGAUACUAUUUGGUUCAAGCAUCUUACCCUCAUGAAGGCCAGCUCUCCCAUACGCAUCUACCAUGAUGUUAUAUGAAGCUCUAUCCGGCUCACAGCCCAUGUGCCGCAUGAGUGAAAAUAUUUCUGCAGCCCCGUAAGGAAAACCUGCACGACUGUUAGGACAAGAUAGUUAAAUAUCAUCAGUUCUAUUGGGAAUCUCUUGGAAGCAAGAAGCAGCACCUCCAGUAUUCUUUUCCAUUUUCUUUGAAAGAUUAUUGAAACACCAUAUCAUUCUAUGAUACUAACCUGUAAGCUUCCAUGAGCGCGUUGUAAGUAUACACAUCAGGCUCAAGCUUAUCUUCUUGCAUCUGCUCAAAUAUUUCUUCUGCCUUCUCACAGAGUCCCUCUCUAGCAAACGCGUUCACCAGAGCUGUGUAUGUGCAGAUAUCUGGUCUGCAUUUUUGACUUCUCAUUUCGUUAAACAACUUCAAGGCCAUGUAAGAUUGACUUGCCUGUGUACAGGAAAAAGAUUAGCAAAAUGAGUUUUUAAGGAUCCUAAACACCACUGUUGUCCAGUUAUCAGAAUUUAUAACCAUAUCCUUGAAUUUAGUCUGAUAAUUGUUUGAAAUUGAAUGCAUAUAUUUCAAGUUGUUUGUUGUAUCACUGUAGACUCGUAGACGUACGAGUUACGCAUAAUUUUCUACUGGGACCAGUGGCAUUUCAAGAAGAUCAGAUUUGCAGAAUAAUUCAGAGCCAAAUACCACUGAGCUUACCUUCCCAUGAAGGUUGAUCAACAGUGUAUAGGUGUCAGUAGAGGGCUGGCAGCCAUCAUUUUUCAUUCGCUGAAAGAUCUGAAUUGCUCUUUGAGGGUUUCCAGCCUUCGUUAACCCAUCAAUAUAAGCAUUGUAUACAAUUGCACCUGGCCAAAAUUAGAGUAUAUGCUCACUUUUCACUCAUAGAAUGUGCAUGCAAGUGUAUCAACUAUCAACAGAACAGCUUGAAAAACGAAAAUCUGAGACGUAAAUAAGAGAAUGAAACACAAAAGCAGAACUAAUGCCCUGUAUUUCACCACCACAAAAAGAAGAGAAAUAACCCACGCAAUCUCAUAAAGGAAAGCUACAGAAGCAAGUUUGUCAUCCAGGAGCCUCUAGCCUAAUCCAGUUCCGGUCUAGCUAAAUUAGCAAGGGGGUCCCUCUUGGUUUAAUCAACCAUUCUCUAAGCAUGGUGAUGUAGAUAAGGAGUAGUAAUCACUACUAUUAUAGUAGCAACAAGAAAUAUGCAGACCAUGAACCAAUCUUCUCUUUUCCUACAUUUAGUAUACUUCACCCCCGAAAAGAAAAAAGAAAUACAGCUCUGUGCAAUUAUUGAGCAAGGUUUCAAAAUUUAAAACGAAUUUAACCCCACAAAAAAUCAAUUUUUGAGGCAAAGAAUCUUACAAGUUGAGGAAAUUUUUGUUUUGUAAGAAAUGGUUGAUGUAGUCCAAUAACUUCUUGAAAAUACAAUUUCCCUAAAAGCUAAGAAGAAAUGAAUUGGUAAACACAUACUUGGAGGAAGGCUAUACUUUCGCAUAUCAACAAAGGCAGCUUCAGCUUUUUCUAACAAUCCACAUGCACAGUAAGCCUUUAUAAGAAGGGCAUAAGUGUCUUCAGUAGGGAUACACCUGGCUUGAAGAAGAUCAACAUAUGUUUCUUCUGCCUUCUCGUACAAAGAUUUUUGCCCAUAAGCAUCUAUUAGUAAAUUGUAGCACAUGACAUCUGUCUGGAAGGAGCUCUUGUACAAUAUCCAUUGACAUAUCUGGAAAUUUUAGAGUUACACCCAACAAGAUUAUUAAGAAUUAAGAACAAACGAUAUGAAAAAUGUCUAUAUAAUAAAUAGAGACAGUAAAGAGAUUUGUUUCAUUUAGUUGUAGGAAAAUGCUGGUAUAUGAGAAUUCCAAACACCAACUGCAGCACCAACCACUUAAAGGAGAUUUGAACAAUCGAGGAUUCAGUCUUAAUGGUUGAAGAGAAAAAUACUGUACAAAAAUCCUGCCACAAAAAUUUGUGCGUGCAAGGUGGUUUAAUCCAUCGCCUACCACCUUACACGAUGAAAGAAAUAAGGCACGAUUUACUCACCAAUGCAAUCGGAUCCCAUUGUUUAUUCAAACGAAGUUGGACGGCUACAUUAAUAAGAUCAUCCCAAGUCUCGUGAGUGACAGGAAGAGUAUCAAGAGCAGCCCAAACAUUAUUCGGAUCCACUUCUUUCCGCACAAAGUUCAGAAUCUGAUGAGCAACAGGACUUAGCACUGGGAAAAUUCCAUCAACAAAUCCAGAUCCAUAUUUCCAUCCUUGUCCCCUCAAAGAGCCACCUGGGUAUAAAAGAUGACUUAAUAAUUAAAGCCAUAUUUGCUUGAGCAGUUAUAUGUAUGAGCACAAAGUGAAUUACUCCGUAUUACAUCGUUUCCUGGACAUCUUUUUGUGAUCAAAGAUUCGCCAUUUGCCAUGUUUGUCGAUAUAGACCCUGUCGCUUUUCCACUUUUUAACAUCUCCACUACUGGAAUUCUUUUCUCGGCGUCUGAAAUGACCAUUCCGGAUUCUUGAUUCUAUAAAAAUAUGAUUCAGUGUGCAUCUAACAAGCAACCUGCAAACACUAAUCAAGUAAACACACAAUUGCCAGCAACAAAAUACACACCUCUUAAUUUAAAGCCAUUACACGGAGGAAGCAACCAAAUAAAAUCCAUAUAAAGGAUGCUUUAGACUUCAAAAUAAUUGGACAAAGAGAGACACUAAAACUACUUUUAAUCACAAUAGCAAACACUUGAAAUGCAAACCAGAAAACCUAGUUAAAAAAGAAGAAGAAAAGUAGUCAACUUUUCCUUUGUAAACCAAAUAUCUUUUCCCUUUCUUCCGCAGUAAUUCUUAACUGCUGUGAGUAUACGUUUUUUUUUCAUUACAGAAUCAAAUAUUAGUCUAAUCUAUCAGAUUAAACUACAAAAAUCAAAAUUUGCAAGAUAAACAAGGCCACAACUGUUGAAGACUGGUUAGAGUUCAACAACGAUAAGCAUAGCACUCUGACAGCUAAAACUGGUCCAUCAUCUUAUAACUUCUGAAGUCACAGUAAGACUUUUUAGAUAAUGAUGAUUGCUCGUUCAAUAUAUAUGAGAGCCAACAAAAUGCUAAAAUGUUUUAACUAAUAAGAACACAAAACAAUUUAGACAUACUCUCUCAAGUGAACGUUGAUACUUAGCAAUUCCAUUGAAACCCAUUUCCCAGAACAAUAAAUUCCAUGAAAAAGCAAUAUUAUCCAGCAAGAGGAGAAACACCAGAAUUGAAGUUAAUAAAUACAGAAAAUAACAAGGCAGCAUGAACAGCAUUAGCAGUGGCAUUGCAUAAGGAAAGAGAGGAAGGAAGGAUACGACUUACAUGAAAGCAUAAAAGAGGAGUUUGGAGUUGGGUAUCUGUAAACAUCCAGUAGGCAAGAAGAUAUGUGAAGAGUGUUUCUUGGAUAAUGGACUACAUGGAUGAAGACCAGCACUGCCAGACAAAAGUAGCUUCUGUUUUUUUCUGUUUACUAAGGGACAAAAGCCUCAAAAUAUCUCUAACGAACUUAAGGCGUCAAACAAUAGCGUUAUUGUAGCCUCGUGGUGUCUGAGGUUGCAUGGGAUUCUAUAUUGAGACAGUAGCUGAUAGCUAGAAUAAUCAAUUCUAAAAAAGUUUAUUUUUAAUAAUAAAAAAAGAAGAAGAUCAAAGGUUAAUUUGUUUAAACACAAUGGACAAAUUAUUGUCAUUAUUAUUAGUAUAAUUUAACAGCAGAUACUCCAGCAUGACACUUGUUGCAAAGACGAAGCUAUGAAGUGCCAAUUGAGUUGCAAUUCGACUCUACUAGCAGAAGUUUCCAUGCUAAAAAAGCGAAAACUGCUGUUAAAAUGGGUUAAAAGGCUUAUUGAGGUUGGGGUGAUUUUUUUAUUUUUUAAAAAAAUUAAUUCGCUUUUAUAUUUUCAGAGUUAAUAUUAAUUUUUUAAAAUAAUAAUAAAAAUAUCAUUUUAAUAUAAUUCCAAGCAAAAACAUAUUUCAAGGGCGAAACUUCCAUUCUCUUAAUAUAAACAGGGUUACGUCAUGCAUUUCCAUUUUUACAACAGUAGUUUUGGCUGCAAUUAGAUGGGGCAAAAUAAGCUAUAACUUUUGUGUGACUUGGAUCAAAUUGAAGAAAUAGAGUGUAAACUGAAAAAUUGAGGCAAGUACAAGGACCCAAAAAUAAAGUAAGCAUUUUAAUUCGAUAUCCAUAUUCCACGGUCCCUCUCUUUCCUUCUUCGGAGCUCCAUUGGAAUUAAAUGAGAACGGCCAUAUUACAGGUCAAGCAUUGAGAGGAGAUAAAUAUAAUUGAAAAGACCAAUUUUCUGCACUCUGUCAAACGUAUCAUAUAGGAAAUCAUAUUGAUGCAAAACUUUAGAAGCCAUCUAAGAUUGGAGAGAAGUUUUGUAACAUUUCCACAUCACAGUUCUACAAACAUGGAAUUAAUGGAAACUUCGGCUAAAAGCAACUGAUUCAAGCAAAUUCCAGAGGAAAGUAACACAAGUAUCUCGAUUGGUGUCAAUACUGGCAAGAACUCCACUUUAGCCAAAAAAUACAAUGUCUAUUCCACUUCAGCCAAAUAAUCAUCAAUUUCGGCUGGAGUUAGUACCCUGCAGUAAAGAAAGCACAAGGGAUAAGUUUGCCAUGGUCAUGCCACACAUAAAUUCUUCCAAGGAAGCUUAAACAUCCAAAGAAAUAGUGGAUUGGCCAUUUUGAACACGAGAUCCAUAUGUAAAUUGUCAGACUGAAACUAGAGCAAGGGUGCGUGAAAAUCAGAACUUCAAAACUGAAACCACAAGUGGAAGGCCAUAUAUGAAAUUGGUGAGAUCCAAAAGAUUUUAGAUAUCAGAUUUUAUCUAGUUAUGAACUGUGUUAACAAAAAUGUGCAUCCUGCAAGUUACUUCUGGAACUCAUCCUAAGCUUGAAAUUACGUGACACUAUUACCAAGUUUAACAAGGAAAAAGGGUACAAUUUCAAUGUUUUUCAAAGAGCAUGCCUGAAUUGACAUGCAAAGACACCUGGUACAGCUGUGGACCUUUGUCAUCAAAACCAGCGAUUAGUAAAGAUACUCCAAAAGGCCUUACACCUCUGCGAGGAAAAACAAAGGAUGAGUAUUUUCAAACUUCAAGAAUAAGAGCAUGAAGAGUUGACAUGCUGAUGCAGGAACAUAGGGAGAGAGUUGUUGGCCUAUUAGAAUAAGGACUAAGGUUAUGAACUUUGGAAAUUAAAAUUCAGAUCUAAAUUACAAAGGAAAUCAACUAAAACCACUGAAACACUUUGAAUGUAUAAAAGAUGUUCCAGUACCCAGAUUGAGUAAACUCUUGCAUGACAGCAGCAGUUUCCCUCACAAGUUGUGUGACAGGAAUUGGUUCCUACAAUCAUAAAAAUUCACAAGUUACAACCUUCCCGAUUAACAACAAAAGAUGACAAUGAAUUGAUAUAAAAUAGUAAUUGGAUAUUUAACUCUUGGAUUUCAAGCAAAAUUAAGCUGUUUUGGGGGUCAGAAUGGCAUUGUUGGGAAUAAGACAACUAAUAAGAAGUCUUGUAAUAUAGACAACCUCAAUACCUGCUUUCCACUUUGGACCUUAGCACGAAUAUCUAAAGGAAAUGUAAUUACCCCGACGCCUCCCCAGGCGGGUGAUAUCUUAUCUUAACCAGGUUAUCAAGCAUUAGACGAAUUAUAUACAUGAGUUUGUUUAGAGGCAUCAAAAGGAUGCACAUAUCCCAUUCAUAAGAUAAGCCAAGAAAAUUUAGCAACCUUAUCACUUAUCAAUGACAUGAAAAGAAAAGCUGAAGAACAAACGUGAAGCAAAAUAAUAAAGAAAAUCUUGAAGAUACCACCUUGUACAGUCUAUGAUAUUGCUCUGCUUGCUUCCUACUUUUCCGAACCAAAACUAGAAAGUCAGGACCCAUUCCACUGCAACAAAAUACAUGUGAUUCAGCACUGUUAAGAAAAAAGUACAGCAAAGCAACCCAUUUUGACAUAGGUAAUAAGUUGCACAAGUUAGUAAGAAGUGGCUCAUUGAGCAACCAAAUUGCCAAGAUGUCUUAUUUCAAACCCAAGUACAGAGGAACUACAUAUUUGUCCCCCUCUUUUUUUCAGUUGAAACAGAAACAGGGUACAUGUACAACGUGUUAAAGUCACGUCCAUAACCAGACCAAUUAAGAACAUUGACCUACAAGGAGUUCCACUGAAGUUCAGAUUAUAACAACAGGCAUGCUUCUAUCUCAAUUUACCACCCCGGGUCAAAUUUCACACUUAUCAGGACACUAUAACAACAGCAGAAACUAUACAAUUUCCCACCAAACAUAAAGAGAGCUUUGAAUCUACACACCCGCCUGCUACAAUCAUUCAUGACAGAUAUUUUAGCAAUAAUUAAGGCCAGAGAAACACAAGCUAAAAAAAUGGAACUUCCUAAUUACUGAGAAGCAGGCAGAAACAAACCUGUAGACAACUCCAAUAUUGGGUGUCAGAUUCUGUAUUUUCUGAACCUGAAACAAGAAGCAAUUAAAUACCAUCAACAACCAACUCAAGUUACAUCCCAUCUUGCAAAUUAGAAUAAUAGACCAAUAAACUGGCUUCAAAAUCAAACCAUCUCCACCUCAGUCAACACGAUUUAAAAUAACCAACACUGCCUUUUUAUACAAUGUGGGAUUAAAGAGGAUAUAAAUCUACACACUCCAACAUUCAAAGCCCCAAUCUUAGAGUCAUUGACUAGUAUAGUAACGCCUCAUUGGCAGGAACCCAAAUCACUAAGCUCAAAUUACUAAUAAAAAUUACAAAUUUACACCGAAUUUGAACAGAUUUCUACCAACCGAUGUCACUAAAGAAAACACAAAAAAAAAAAAACGCAAAAAACCAAAAGGGCUUCUUGAAUUUAAACCAAAGAAUAUAACAAAACCAAUAAAAAAAAUAAUAAAUGUUUACUUACAGAAGAUUCAUCGACUAAAAUAGAUGGCAAUUUCUUCUCAGUUGCAAUAACAACACCGUUUGCCGCUACAACACCAAAAAAAUAAUAAAAUCAACAACAUAAUAUCUAAGCACUCAUCAACAACGUAGUGCAUUCGAAAAUGACAAGAAAAUGAGAGAAAAAAAGAGAGAGAGGGAGCUUAAAUUGCAACAACCUUUGAUUCCGAGAGAAGUUUGGCCUGAUCCAACGGCAGUCAAUGCGUGCUCAAUCUGUACUAGCUUUCCGGUAGGACUGAAAGUAGUGAGAGAAAAGGAGUACUGGCUAUCACCCAUGGUUUAUUGCUUGAAGACGCAGAGAGGAAAAACUGAGAAUGCGAGUGUGUGGGAGAGAAAGACAGGGAUAUUUACUUGGGGUUUUAAGUUUUAACUUUGCUUUUCUCGUUGGAGAAGAAGGUGUUUUCUUACGAGGGCUUUCACAAGGGAGUAUUAUGGGCUUUUAUGACGGCAGGUUGGUCCUCUUUACAUUGAGCUCAAUGAAGGCUCGGAACCAGUUUUGUUUUUAAGUAUUAUUAACAAAUUUUUAUUUAUUUAUUAAUAUAAAUAAUUUUUAAUUUAUUUAAUUACAUUUAUAUAUAUAAUUUUUAAUUUAUUAUAUUUUUUGAACUAGAAAAAUAUAUUUAAAGAACUGCAUAUAUAAAUUUUUAUAAAAAAUAAAAAUAUUUGACUCAUAAUAAAUCAUUCAUAUUUUUAUAAAAAAAUAAAGAUGGGUAAACUCUUAAUUAGGCCUUGCUGCUGAAUUUUGUUGUUGAUUUGUAAUUUAAUUAUUGUUUAAGAUUUUUUGUGUUAGAUUUGGAUAACUUUAUUUGGAUUUAAUCUCCAAAAUUGAUGGGUAUCAUCACUUAUAGAUGAAUGGUUUAGCUUCUCUCAUUUAUUUGGAUUUAAUCCACUGAAACUGAGGUUAAGAAUUUCUUGGAUUUAAUCCACUGAAACAGUUGCUUGAUCAAGAUCAUUGGCUUGUUUGAAGGCAGAUAAAGGCUUAAAAAAAAGGCGAGAGGGAGCGAGAAAGAGAGGAUGUGAGAAAUAAUUAUAGUUGAAACAAAUGAAUUACAUAUCAUUUUAUGUUGAGGAGAGAGAGAGAGGAUGUGAGAAAUAAUUAUAUCAUCUUAGAUUACAAAUCAUUUUGAGAAAAUCUAAAAGAAAAUAUCAUCUUAGAUUAAUUAUAGAUAUGAGUUGCAGUAGUUGAAAUUUCAAAGGCAAUUUUUUUAGAGUAGCAUUUGGAGAAUUUAAGUAAGGAAUAAGCUUCACGUGAGCGAGAUAAUAUCACAGCUGCAUUUGAUAGAGUAAAUGGUAAGUAGGAACUAAAAUCGAAUUACAGUAAAGAGGUCACAUAGAGUAAAUGGUAAGAAUUAACACCAAAGCAAAUAAUUAAUACCCUCAAAAAAGUUCUGCCUUUCUCACCUAAUCAUAAAAAUCAAUGUUUGGGAUGUGAGAAAUCUUUUGCCAAUCUUCACCCAUCUCCUCCUUCCCGUAACGUUCCCUUAGAAUGGGGCACCAUCUUAUCUCCAAUUCCUGUAGAGGCGCUGCCAAAACAUAGUCUGGUAGUGCUCUCAACAACGGGCAAUUAACAAUCAUCAACUCUCGAAGUUGUGGCAUAAUGGAUAUUAUUGAAGUUGUGUUGGCAUCUUCUUCUCCCAAGGAUCUCCUUUCAAUUCCAUCCCACUCCUCUACUUCUGUGAGACCCUCCAUCGCAAGUUUUUUUAAUUUGGGGAAAGCAGUGACCCUUGCAAUUUCUCCUUCAUUAAUACUGGCAUUCUCAUCUUUUUCUAUACCUAAAAAUCCAGCAUCCAGCCUUCUCACCUUCAUCAAAAUCAAUACCAGGCUUUCAAGGUUGGGCAAUCUACCCAACGGAGGCAAGACCUCCAGGUUUUCACAAUAACGGAGUGUAAGCACCUGUAAUCUGGUUAAUGCCAUCAUCCAAUUUGGCAAAUCCAACCCUCCGUACCCAUAUAUGGUUAGAUUUUCCAAGUCUGACGGAGGCCGUAAAGCUUCAAAUAAAAUGCCGUCCUCCAGGUUGUGGUCGAAAACCAAUUCCAAACGAAGCAGGCGCUUCUUAUUCUUGAGUUGUGCUUCUGCAGCGUCCCUCGCAUCUUCUUUACCUCCUCCUAGAUUCCCUAUCUGAAGACUCCCUCCAAUGUGAUUUAAGUUUUUUAAUUCUCUUAGAUUAGCUGCUUUACUUUCAUUCUCACCACCACCACACACAAAAAACUGGUCUAAUGUUCGAAGACAUGUUAUCCUCUCUAUUCCCUUUGGUAUGAAGGCCACACCUGAACCAUAAAUCCGGAGAUGCCUCAAUUUGAUAAGUUUUCCAAUCGCCCGAGGUAAUUCGUUGAGAUAACAACACUGAGUAACGUCUAGGGAUUGCAGAUUGCAUAAAUCACAAAUGGUUUCUGGCAGGGACUCCAACAUUCCACAAAAUGCCAAAUUGAGGUGUCUCAAAUGUAUCAAUUUCCCUACCUGAUUUGGUAUUUCUCUGAUAGAAGACUCUGACAAAUUCAAUGACCUGAUGCAUGUCAACUGCUUGAAUAAAUCAGGUAGUGCAGCUCCAAGCGAAGAGUCUCCAGUGUGGAUCAAGAGGCUGCGAAGACCUUUUGCUUUGUGAAUGGACUUGGGAAAAGAGGUCACCGCUAAAUGACGAACCCUUUCAAUUGAAGUCUUCACUGUUAGACAUUCAUUUUUUGUCAUAUAUUGGGCAAAAUCAUGCACUAUAUCAUGCAUCUUGAAUCUCAUUCCUUCACGAUCACUCUUCUCAAAAUCUUGGAAGAAAGAGCGCGUUGCUAAGACUUGAAAGUACUGCUCUCCUACAAGCUCCAUAUCUCCACCUGAAGUCUCCUUGAGGUAACCUUGAGCCAUCCACAUCUUCACCAAUUCAUCUUUGUCCAUCUCGUAGUCUUUUGGAAACAUGGCACAAUACAAGAAACAUCGUCUUACCACAGAAGGUAAAUCGUAGUAACUCAAAAGCAAAGGUGGAAAUAGUCCUCUUUCAACAUGUUCUAGCUCCCACAGUUCGCUAGAUAAAACAUGUUCCCACUCUUCUCUUGUUCUUUUAGACUGCAUUAGACCUCCUAAUACCUUGGCAGCUAGAGGCAAGCCCUUGCACUUGCUUGCAAUUUUGUCGCCGAUUUCUGUCAAUCUUUCGCACUCAUCUUUGCUUCUUUUAUGGAAUGCCACCUGAUUGAAUAUUGACCUGCAUACCUCAUCAGACAAUUUCUCAAGGUUGAUCACGUGGUCAGUUCCUAUCAUGGUUGCCACAGAAUGUUUACGACUGGUCACUAGAAUUCUGCUUCCUGUUGCACCGCCUUUGAGAGAUAGUUUCAGUGGUUCCCAUUGUCUAUGAUUUUCUGUCCAGACAUCAUCUAGGACAAGAAGGAACCUCUUUCCCUUAAUUGAUUCAGAAACACUUUGCAAAAGGGAUUCCAAUUCAACUAAAUUCGGUGCACCCCCUUGAAGCGCCUCAAGGAUAGCUUUUGAUAUCCUAACCUCAUCGAAUGGAUCUGAUACACACACCCAUAUCUUUUUCUCAAAAUGAGCCGUAACCCGAGCAUCAUUAAAAGCUAGUUGGGCGAGAGUUGUCUUUCCAAUCCCGCCCAUUCCUACUAUAGAGAUCUCCACGUCCCCUGCUUCCUGAAUACUUUCGCCCAGCAACUUGCUUACUACAGCUUCCCUUUCAUCAUCUCGACCACGCACGAUUGAUUCAUCAACAAGGGAGGUACUUGUUAUUCGUUGUAGUUCAUCAGUGGCUCUGUACAACUCAAAGCCAAACAUAGCUCUCUCUUUGGUAAUCUCAUCCACUUUUUCACAUACUUCUUUGAUCUUGAGGGCAAUGUCGCGACGUCGAGCCACUUGAUUGAAACAAAAGCAAGGAGAUCCCAGGAAGGAACAUCGCAUCUUCUGUAGGCUGCGAGUAUUUUCUUCAACUUCCUCCAUUUUCCAUCUAAGAAUUGCAGUGCUCCAUUCAUCUAGCACGUCAUCCAUAUCAUAGCAUACAUCUUUGAGCUUGUCUGCCCAAUCCCUUACAGCCUUAUCCUUCACUUGUUUUCUAUCUGCAUCUUCAAGGACAGAUUGGAUAGCAAGGAGAUUGCUUUUCAGCUUGUCGACUUGUUUCUGCACACCCCCUACUAGGUUCACUUCUUCCUGUACCUAUUGGUGUAGAAAAGACCAGAAAGUUCAAGCAGAGGAAACAGUUCUAUGAUUUCACUACAAGUUUUUAAUUUUAAUUUUUGGGAAUUAAUAGAUUAAAUAAUUUUUAUUAAUCUUUUUUCCGCAUAGUUCACACGUACAGUGAAUUGGAUUGGCUAUAUUAUAAAUUCAUAUAUAAAAUAUUUAUUAAGAACCUAUAUAUUAAAAAUAAUAAUAUUUCUUUUUAUCAUCAUCAUGAUGAUAUCUCUGUCUGCACUCUGCUACUAUACAAGAAAGGAAAAAAAUGAAUCUUAAAUUGUUCGACGUCAAACCUGUAUAUAACAUAAGCUUGGCGGAUCAAAGAAAUAUAAAAGGAAUAAAAGGAAAGUGAAUAAAAGGAUCUGUAUUUGUUGUUAUUUGUAAAGUCUAUAAUAAGAUUAUGGAAGAAAAAAAAGACUUAAAUUUUUAUAUUUCUUAUCAUGUUACGGUUAAUUCGAUCAUUGCAAAUUGUAUAAAAGUAAUUACCUGUUGAGCAACGACCGUGGUUAACUGCUCCAAAAUUGGCGAUAAAAGUGCCUCUGCCAUUUGUCUUUUUGGUUUAAUUUUAUUUUUAAAAAAGAGAUAAUUAUGAUGAUGAACUGAGAGAGAGAGAGAAGAGUGUGAGGGGAAGGAGGCUGCUGGUUGUGAAAUGAAGAGAGAGGGUUAGUUUAUGUACUUGGGGUUUGGUGAUGAGGGUUGACUAUUGUUUCCAUCCCUGUACUGUUUCUAACAUUUCAAUUCAGUCCCUGUAUUAUUGAACGUUUCAGUCUAGUCUCGGUCAGGGGUUUCCAUCUGCGGAUGGCUUUUCCUGAUUGUAUGUUUCUACUGAGAAUGACAUGCCAUUUUGAGUUCCAAAGGUGAAACACUCGUGCUUUUCUAACUUUUCCUGGCUAAGGAUUAUUAUUUGUGGAAAGUAAUUUCUUCUUCGAUUUAUAGCAAUUAUUUUGGAUUGAUACUGACCUUAGGUUAAGAAUGCUGUAGUUUCUACUGAAAUGUAUCUGAUACAGACCUUAGGGACAACUGAUUAUAGCAUUCUUCUCGUCUGCUUCUCUAUUUCUUCUCUUCAUUUUAUGUUAUUCCACUAGUCUUCCAAACUGGAUCACGGUGAUAUAUAUCUGUCCAUCCAAACUAAUUUACCCAAACCAAAAGUAGUAACCAAUUAGCUCGUGUAAUGGAACUAUAAACAAGCAUCUAUCUUUCUGGGUUUUUGAGAUCAGGUGAUUUUAUCCUGUUUUCAUAGCAGGGACUGGGGUUUGAUAUUGAUCUUUGAUUUUACCCAAACCAAAAGUUUGAAAGGAUUGCUGGUUUGUGUGAUUGGAGCUCCUUUCAAUGGGUGUGAAAAGGCCAAGAAAUGAGCAAGAUUUUCUGGAGGAAAGGAUUCAUAUUGUCUGGACUCAAUCACCUUCCUUUCUUCUUCUUCUUCUUUCUGCAGGAAAAAAGUAGAGCAGAGCAACCCUUUUUGACAGAGGCUAGUAAGUUGCAGAAGUUAGUAAGAAGUGGAUCAUUGAGCAACCAAAUAGCCAAGAUGUCUUAUUUCAAACCCAAGUACAGAUGAAUGCCGUAUUUUUAUUUUUCUAAGGAACUGCAUAUUUGUCCCCCCACUUCUUCUUUUUCUGUUGAAACAGCGACAGGGUACGUGUACUCUAGAAAAUAUUUAGAAUGGAAACAAAUAGAAAGUAGCUUAAAAUUGUGAAAAUAUUGUUUUUAAAUUGUUUAUUUCAAACCUAAUUAAUAAUAUGUUUUUGUUUUAGAUAGUUUUUGUGAUUCUGAUUUGAAAAAAAAUAAGUUUUAAAAAAGUACAGCUAGCUGUGAUUAAUUGAAUUUAAAUACGUGUUUAAUAAAAAUUAUGGUUAAAGUUUAUGUAUAAUAAAAAAUAUGUAUAAAAUAUUUGAUAGUUAUGUUUGAGACUGUGGUUGUGAUUGUUUUUUAAAGUGUUUUUUACAUUAAAAUAAUAUUUUUUUAUUUUAAAAAAAUUAUUUUUGAUAUCAGUGCAUCAAAAUGAUCUGAAAACACCAAAAAAAUAUAUUAAUUUGAAAUAAAAAAAAAUUGUUUUUUACCAGUAAAUCAAAGUGUUUUUUACCUCAUUUUUCCUUGAUUAAUUCUAACUACGAAACAGCUACUGCACCAACAAGAUGGAAAAGGCUCACCAAGAUGUUCUCUUUGAAAAGAUUCUCAAUGAGUCGUUGACAUCUCAUACUUGUCUAAAAAUUUUAAUCUUUUUUUGGAAAAGAUUCUCAGUGAGUCUGUCUCCUGGCUUAUUGAUCAACACUUUUAUCAUAUUGUGAACAAACAUGUCAAUUUCCAGAAUUUUAUUGAGUAGGAUGACUGUAUAGAAUUACUCUGAUUUAUCAACACAUAUCAAAUUCUUGCUGCUGCUGAGGAAGAUAUCCUGCACUUAGCCAUCAUAGAGGGUAGCAAGGUUUUGUGUUGAUGGUAAUUACACUGACUCAUCGUCUAUCAUCUAGAAUUCAAUUUUAAAAAAUAUUGCAAGAAAUGUUUUUUUUCCUAAAUACAUCGAUCGGGUGUGGAUAGAUUGAUUACAAAGCGACUUCCUAAAAAGUCUUGGUCUUAAUAUGCAAAGAUGAUCCAAGUAUGCCAUAUAUUAUUUUUUUAAAAUAAAACCCACAUAUCUAGUCCACGCAAAGGUACUCGAAUAUGGAUUUGUAAAAAUAAAAAUGAAUAUUUAUACGAAAUUGAAUUGUGCAAAUAAAACCCACAGAUCUAGUCCAUGAUCUACGGCUCCUCCAGAGUUCCGUAGUGGUGUCUUUCUCAACUAUUCUUUAAAUAAAAUGUUUGGGAUGUGAGAAAUCUUGUGCCUAUCUUCACCCCUCUCCUCCUUCCCGUAACGUUUCCUUAGAGAAUUUAUGUAGAGGCGCUGUCAAAACAUAGGCCGGUAGUGCUCUCAACAAUGGGCAUUUGAGAAUUCUAAACUCACAAGUUGUGGCAUGAUGAAUAUUGAAGUCGUGGUGGAAUCUUCUUCUCCCACUCUCCUUUCAAUCCCAUCCCACUCUUCUAGUUCUUUGAGAUGCCAAAUGCUGAGUUUUUUCAAUUUAGGGAAAGGAGAGUGGUAGUUUUUUCAAUUGGGGCAAUACUCUUCCAAUUCUCUUUCACUAAUAUUUAUUGGUGGAAAAAAUCACUGAUAGUAGUUUUAAAACACUCAAAGAAAAUAAAACAUAUUGUUUUAUUUCAACAACAAGAAGCUUACAAUAAUUAAACAAAAGCUUUUAAUACACACCCUCUUUUUCUCUCUAGUGUUCAUCUCUUAUCUUUCCCACACACAAUUACAUAAACUUACCUAUCUAUUUAUACACAAAUUAAAAGUAAAAAAAAAAAAAUCAAACUUCAAGUGUGAAGGCGGCUGGUGGCUAAACAGUGGGGUCCUUUUGUAUUUUGUCAAAAGAGAUGAAAUUAUAAUCAAUGAUGAUGAUAUAUAUAUAUAUAUAUAUAUAUAUAUAUAUAUAUAUAUAUAAACUACUAUGUGCAUUCUAUAAUUUAGUUAUAUAAUACAAUAGAUCUUUACAAUUAGUGAUUUCAACUUACCAAUAGAGAAAUUAUAGUAGAUCUUUACUAUGAUAUAUUCAAAAUAAAUAAAUAAAACAGGUAUACUUCAACACGCAUAUUAUACAUACACUUCUUUUUUAAAAAUUAAUCAUAAAAAAUUGAUUAGUUAUUUAUUAUAAAAAUCAGACCUGUAAGUUAUAUCUAAAUCAUUGAAAAUAGUAAAGGUAAACUAAUUAGAAGAGACAAUGUAUUUCAAAUUAGUUAAUUUAUAUAGAAUUAUUUUAGUUACUAAAUUAAAAAAUUCAAAUUUUUAUAUCACUUGGAAUACAUAAGGUGGAUUUAAUCCACAAAAUCGAUGGGUGAUAACCUCUAAGAUAUCGAUGGGUACAUAUAUGGUGGAUUUAAUCCACAAAAUCAAUAAGAGACCAAUCGGCUAGCUCCAAAAUCAAACCAUCUCCACCUCAUUCAAACACGAUUUAAAAUAAUCAACACCACCUUUUUAUACAAUGUGGGAUUAAUGAGGAUAUAAAUCCAAGGCUCCAACAUCCAAAGUCUCAAUCUUAGAUUUAUUAGCUAGUAUAGCAACGCCUCAUUGGCAAGAACCCAAAUCACUAAGCUCAAAUUACUAAUAAAAAUUAUAAAUUUUCAGAUAAUAUUUUUAAUAUUUAAUCUUUCUAGCAAUUGAUGAUAGCAAUUGCAAAUGAAUAGAGGAGGAAGCAUCGAGAUCAUUGGCUUGUUUGAAGGCAAAUGGACCCUUUGAUCGUUAGAUGAUGCAUCUAAAUGAGGCUCCACAUUAUAAAAGCGUAAUUAGGUGGCACGCGCUAUCCCACAAACUCACCUUAGAUUUUCAAAAUAAAAUUAGAUGGAGGAUCCAUGUCUAUUUGGGUCCUCCCUAGACAGGACCCCAACAUAUUCGGGUCCAGUAACGACCAGGUCCAAGUCUAGCGUUGGGCUAGGUUGGGUAGGACCCAAGGUUAUUUGGGUGUACCUGGCAGAAUCCAAGAUUGUUUUUGAGUCCUGCAACUAAUAAUUAUAUGUAAUUUCUAAAUGAAACUAAAUGUAAAAUUAAAUAUAAUUUGAUAAAAUUAUUAUAAACAUUUGGUAAAAUUAGUAAAUGAUAUAACAUUUUCUUUCAAAUUCAUCAAUUAUUUAAAUAUUAAGUACAAAAAAUACUCUUAUGAAUUUUGAUAAAAAUAAUAAUAUUUAUAAUACAACUGAUAACAUUUUUAGUAUUAAAUUAUUAAUUAAUAUAAAUAAUAUUAUUUAUAACACCAAAAAUAAUAAUAUUUUUGAGAUUAAUACUAUUAAUUAGACUAAAAAAUAAUAUUAAUAAAACAAAUAAUAAUAUUUCUAAUACUAAUACUAUUAAUUAUACUAAAAAUAUAUAUUAAUAAAAAUAUAAAAUACUCUUAAUAUUAAUUAUACUAAAAAAAUAUUAAUAAAACAAAUAAAUAUUUUAAUACUAACUUGUAAUUAUACUAAAAAUAUGGGCAGCCCAAGCGCUAAGUGAUGCUUGGACUACACUCAAGAGAAAUCAUAUUAUUUUAAAAUAUUUGUCCACUAAUUGCUAUUGAAUUUAAAAUAAAUAUACUUUUAAAACUAAUAUAAAGUUACCAAUAGUCGAUUUGAUAGCUGCUUGCAUAAAAUCUCAUUGAAUUUGGCCAAUGGUUUUUUAGAAUAAAGUAAAAAAAAAGUUAUUUCAAAACAUAACCAAAGUAGUUUUAGUUAUUUGUCAGAAACUAGUAUAUCCCAUAAAAAUCAGAGUUUUGGAUGAAAUAAAAUCAAUUCUAAAAUCAAACGCCGAUUGAAGCUUCAACGCAUUUGUGAACUAGAGAAUUUAAUUAUUAAACUCGUUUGUUUCGCGUUCAAAAAUAUUUUAAAAUUAUUUUAUUUUUUAUUUAUUUUUUUGUUUUUUAAAUUAAUAAUUUUUUUAGUAUAUUUAGAUCAUUUUAAUGUGUUUAUAUAAAAAAUAAUUUAUAAAAAAUAAAAAAAAUUAUUAUUUUAAUAUAUUUCUAAUAAAAAAUACUUUGAAAAAUAAUUAUAAUAAUACUGUCACACAUGCUGUUUAAUGUUUGUUCAAAAAUUGUGCUUUUUAAAAUAUGCAUUCUAACGCAAAGAAAGCAUAUAAAACACAUCAAAGUUGCAAAAGUACGUAGUUUUAAUUAUUAGCAAAAGUAUUCUAAAAUAUGAAAAGAUAGGUUUAAAUACCCUAAAUAUCCGUAAAUAACUAGAAAAAAAUUAAUAAAACUAAAAUCCAAAAUUAUCAAGGCAAAAAUCUAAAAUAUGGUCUGAAACUUCAAAGGCAAUUUUUUUAGAGUGGCAUUUGGAGAAUUUAAGUAAGGAAAAAGCUUCACGUGAGCGAGAUAAUAUCAUCUUAGAUUAAUUCUUUAACAUGUAAAAUUUAAGUCUAAUUCAAUAAUUAAAUAAAAAAUUACCUCUUCCUGCCGGUCUUAACUAUUCUUUAAAUAUAAACAUAUGAAUUACAUAUUAUUUUAUAUAUGUUGAGAGAGAGAGAGAGAGAGAGAGAGGAUGUAUACUAUAUAUAUCACAGCUGCCUUUGAUAGAAUAAAUGGUAAGUAGGAAAUACAAUCCAAAGUCAACAUUAUACAGUAAAGAGGUAUAUGAAACAUACCUCGUCCUGCCUGUCCUACAGAUUAUGGUAAGUCGGAAAUCGAAUUACAGUAAAGAGGUCACAUAGAGUAAAUAGUAAGGCUUACAUAUUAUUUACACUCAACCUUAGCAAACACCAAAGCAAAUAAUUAAUACACUCAGAACCAAAUCUUUUACCGUUAAGAAUUAACACUGGUGGAAGAAUUUAUCAUCAAAAUAAAUGUUUGGGAUGUGAGAAAUCUUUUGCCAAUCUUCACCCAUCUCCACCUCCUUCCCGUAACGUUAGAUUGGGGCAACCAUAUGCGUAGAUCCUGUAUAGGCGCUGCCAAAACAUAGUCUGGUAGUGCUCUCAACAACGGGCACCAACGAAUUGUCAACUGUCGAAGUUGUGGCAUAAUGGAUAUUAUUGAAGUUGUGUUGGCAUCUUCUUCUCCCACUCUCCUUUGAAUUCCAUCCCACUCUUCUACUUCUUCGAGAUCCCAAAUCUCAAGUUUUUUAAUUUGGGGAAAGCAGUGACCCUUGCAAUUUCUCCUUCCUUAAUACUGGCAUUCUCAUCUUUUUCUAUACCUAAAAAUCCACCAUCCAGCCUUCUCACCUUCAAAAGUACCAGGUGUUCAAGGUUGGGCAAUCUUCCCAACGGAGGCAAGAACUCCACGUUUUCACAAUAACGGAGUGUCAGCACCUGUAAUCUGGUCAAUGUCAUCAUCCAAUUUGGCAAUUCCAACCCUCCGUAACAAUAUAUGCUUAGAUCUUCCAAGUCUGACGGAGGCUGCAAAGCUUCAAUUAAAGAGCCUUCAUGCUCUGGCAACACUGUUUUCUCUCCGAAGAAAUUCAAUACCAAACGAAACAGGCGCUUCUUAUUCUUGAGUUGUGCUUCUGCAGCGUCACUCGCAUCUUCUUUACCUCCUCCUAGAUUCCGUAUCUGAAGACUCCCUCCAAUGUGAUUUAAGUUUUUUAAUUCUCUUAGAUUAGCUGCUUUACUUUCAUUCUCACCACCACCACACACAGUAAACACAUCUAAUGUACCAACAGGUGUGUGGCUCAAGUGGUGAAGGGGGCAGCUCUCCUUUCAUCGAACCCAGGUUCGAAUCCCAGUGGGAGUGGGGCUGGAGAGUUUGCUCUCUUCCUAUUUCUCUUGGGUCCUCCCUGUGCGGUAUCCCUGUCACCCCCGCGGUGUCUUACCUGCUCACUAGGGCUUGCAGGAUGUUCAGUGGGCCGUGGGAUUAGUCGUGGUGCGCGUAAGCUGGCCCGGACACCCACGUUAUCAAAAAAAAAAAAAAAAAAAAAAAAACACAUCUAAUGUUUAGUUAUAUAAUUGAUCAUCGUGGCUACAAAAUGAAGUGGAACUAAUAAUUAAUGGAGUGGAAUACUAAAUAAAAUGAAUUGCUAUGUGUAUUCUAUAAUUUAGUUAUAUAAUAUAGGCAGAUAUGUACAAAUUAGUCAUUUCAACUUAUCAAUAAAGAAAUUAUAAUAGAUUUUCACCGUGGUAUGAUCGCAAUAAAUAAAAUAAAAUAGAUAUAUCUCACAGCAUUAAUAAUUUUUUAGUUUUUGUUAAACAAUGUCAACAUAUAUAUAUAUAUUAUACAUACACUCAUUUCUUUAAAAAUAAUUAUAAUAAAAUUAAUUAGUUAUUUAUUAUAAAAACCUGACCUAUGAGUUAUGUCUAAGCUGUUAAAAAUAGUAAAAAUAAAAUAAUUUGAAAAUAGAAUUAUUAAUUAAUUUAUAUCAAGUUGUUUUAUUUAUUAAAUUAAAAAAUCCAAGUUUUAUAUCACCUAGAUUACUUAUGUUGGAUUUAAUCCAUAAAAUUGAUGGGUAUCAUCUCUUAUAUAUGAAUCGAUGGGUAUCAAGUUACAUGCCAUCUUGCAAAUUAGAAUAAUAGACCACUCGACUGGCUCCAAAAUCAAACCAUCUCCACCUCAUUCAACACGAUUUAAAAUAAUCAACACCACCUUUUUAUACAAUGUGGGAUUGAUGAGGAUAUAAAUCUACAGACUCCAACAUCCAAAGUCUCAAUCUUAGAGUUCUUAUCUGGUAUAGUAACGCCUCAUUGGCAAUAACCCAAAUCACUAAACCCUAAAUCACUAAUAAAAAUUACAAAUUUACACCGAAUUUGAACAAAUUUCUACCAGCCGAUGUCACUAAACUCAAAUUACUCCUAAAAAUCUCAAUAUAAACCCAUUAACUACUAGACCAACAACUCAUUGGCUAGAAUCCACGUUGCUUUUCCACAACAAUCAUCAGCUUCUUCAAUUAGGAUGCUACAAGCCCUUGUCUAUAUACUAGCUUAAAUUGCAACAACCUUUGAUUCCGAGAGAAGUUUGGCCUGAUCCAACGGUAGUCAAUGCGUGCUCAAUCUGUACUAGCUUUCUGGUAGGACUGAAAGUAGUGAGAGAAAAGGAGUACUGGCUAUCACCCAUGGUUUAUUGCUUGAAGACGCAGAGAGGAAAAACUGCGAAUGCGAGCGUGUGGGAGAGAAAGGCAAGGAUAUUUACUUGGGGUUUGAACUUUGCUUUUCUUGUUGGAGAAGGAGGAGUUUUCUUACGAGGGCUUUUACAAUGGAGUAUUUUGGGCUUUUAUGACGGCAGGUUGGUUCUCUUUACAUUGAGCUCAAUGAAGGCUUUAAUUUUUUAAACUUAACUUUAUCCGGGUCAGUUCACGGGAGAAGUUUAAUUUUUUUUUUUUUAAGAAAAUAAAAUAACAUUAUUUUUAGUACUUUUUUAAAAUGAUAUUUUACCUGAGUCCACAGGCGAUGUAUAAAGUUUUUUUUAUUUAAAAUAAUAUUUUUUUUUUAUUUUAAUAUUUACUUACUAUUUGUAUACUAAAACAGUAAAACAUGUGAGAUUUUCACUUUAUAUUUGUUACUGUGCAAAAUUUUAUUUUUUAGUUUAGUCCUCAAACUUUAUUUUUGAACUAUCAAGUCCUAUUUAAAAAACAAUUGAUUUUAAAUUCUGAUAAAAAAUUUGGAUUGGAAGAGAGGAACUGAAAUGAAAAACACGAUAGAUAUGGGUAACGCACCUUAAAUUUUUAAAACAUUCUCUUUGGUCUUCCAACUUAAACAAUCACACAAAUUAUAUAAUUUUGGUACCUCAAAAUUGUUCCAAUUCCAUUUUGGUGCGAAGAUUUAUUUUUGUUAUUUUCUAGUUCCUAAUUAAGAGAGGAGAGAAAGAAAGGGGUCACUAGAUUCCAAUAAUAAAAAGAGAAACUUGUCGUUGACACCAACUUAAACCACUAAAAUAAGGGAUCUUUAUGUCAAAUUAUUAGGGGAGUUCCUAUUAGAUGUUUUUGUAACUUAAAAGUUCAUGAAAAAAAGGAUCUAAACUCGGGUUAAUUUUUUUUAUUUUAGACUGUGUUUGGUUUUUUAGGCAGUUUUUUGGAUCUAGUAUGGUUUCCCGAUCCAAGUACCUAGGGUCUGGCAUAGUUGCUAUAAAAAUAUAACUUUAAAGAAUAUAAUUAAAAACAAAUAAAGUGACGUGAUUAGUUAAAAACUAAAAAUAAUAAUAAAAAAAAAGACUUAACCUCAUUUUUUUGUUGUUCAGAAGGCUUCUUUUAAAUAAUAUUAAUUUUUUUUAUGAGUUUAAUUUUCAGAGAGGUUUUCUAGUGUAUUUAUGGUUUUGUUUGUCUUUUAUAUAAAUAAAUUAUAUUUUGAAAAUAACAAAAUAUUUAUUUUCAGAUAAUAUUUUUAAUAUGUAGUCUUCGUAGUGAUUGAUGAUGCCAAUUGUAAAUGAAUGGAGGAGGAAGCAUCAAGAUCGUUAGCUUGUUUGAAGGCAGAUAGACCUUUGAUCAUUAGAUGAUGCCUCUAAACGAGGCUCCAUAUUAUAAAGGCAUAACAAAGAGAGGAUGAGAGAAAUAAUUAUAGACCAGUUAGGUGGUUUGUGCUACAUCGCGGGCUCACCUUUAAUUUCUAAAAUAAAACUGGGUGAGUACCCAAGUCUAUUUAGGUCCUUUUCAAAUAGGAGCCAAGCAUAUUUGGGUUCUAUCGCGGCCAAGCCAGGUAGGACCUAAGGUUAUUUGGGUCAUGUACCUGGCAGGACCCAAGGUUAUUUUUGAGUCCUACAACUAAUAAUUUGUAUUUAAUUUUUAAAUAAAACUAAAUGUAAAAUUAAGUAUAAUUUGAUAAAAUUAUUAUUACAAUACAUUUGGUAAAAUUAAUAAAUGAUAUAACAUUUUCUUUCAAAUUCAUAAAUUAUUUUAUUAAUAAUAUUAAUUACAAUAAAAUAUACUCUUAUAAAUUUUAAUAAAAAUAAUAAUAUUUAUAAUACAACUGAUAAAAUUUUUAGUAUUAAUAUUAUUAAUUAAUAUAAACAUAAUAUUAUUUAUAACACCAAAAAUAAUAAUAUUUUUGAGAUUAAUACUAUAAAUUAGACUAAAAAAUAAUAGUAAUAAAACAAAUAAUAAUAUUUUUAAUACUAAUACUCUUAAUAUUAAUUAUACUAAAAAAAACUAUUAAUAAAAAAAAUAAUAUUUCUAAUACUAAUAUUUGGAAUUAUACUAAAAGUAUGUACGGGCAGCCCAAGCGUUAAGUGGCGCUUGAACUGCACUCAAGAAAAAGCAUAUUAUUUUAAAAUAUUAUUUGUCCACUAAUUGCUAAUAUAAAUACACUUUUAAAACUAAUAUAAAGUCACCCAGAGUCAAUUUGAUAGCUGCUUGCAUAAAAUCUCAUUGAAUGUGGCCAAUGUUUUUUAGAAUAAAGUGAAAUAAAAAGUUAUUUCAAAACAUAACCACAGUAGUUUUUAAUUAUUGGUCUAGAAACUUUAGUAUAUCUCAUAAAAUCCAUGAGUUUUGGAUGAAAUAAAAUCAAUUCUAAAAUCAAACUCCGAUUGAAGCUUCAACUGCAUUUGUGAGCUAGAAAAUUUAACUUAUUAAGUUAGGUUUGUUUUUGCAUUUUAAAAGCGUUUUUAAAAAUUUUAAAUUUAUUUUAUUUUUUUCUUUGCUUUAAAUUAUUUUUUUUUUGUGUUUUUAGAUCAUUUUGAUGCGCGAAUAUCAAAAAUAAUUUUUAAAAAAUAAAAAAAAUAUUAUUUUGAUAUAUUUCUAAGUAAAAAUCAUUUUAAAAAGUAAUCACAACAAUAUUUUCACACAAUCUCUUCAAAACUUGUGCUUUUUAAAACAUGCAUUCAAACGCAAAGAAAGCAUAUAAAACACAUCAAAGUUGCAAAAGUAUGUAGUUUUAAUUAUUAGCAAAAGGGUUUAAAUACCCUAAAUAUCCGUAAAUAACUAGAAAACAAUUAAUAAAAAAAUAAUAAAACUAAAAUCCAAAAUUUUCAAGGAGAAAAUCUAAAAUAUGGUCUGAAAUUUCAAAGGCAGCUUUUUUAGAGUGGCAUUUGGAGAAUUUAAGUGAGGAAUAAGCUUCACGUGAGCGAGAUAAUAUCAUCUUAGAUUAAUUUUUUUAACAUGUAAAAUUUAAGUCUAAUUCAAUAAUUAAAUAAAAAAAAUUACCUCUUCCUGCCUGUCUUAACUAUUCUUUACAUAUGAACAUAUGAAUUACAUAUUAUUUUAUGUUGAGAGAGAGAAAGAGAGAGAGAGAGAGAGAGAGAGAGGAUGUGAGAGAGAGAGAGGGGUGUAUAUAUAUAUCACAGCUGCAUUUGAUAGAAUAAAUGGUAAGCAGGAAAUACAAUCCAAAGUCAACAUUAUACAGAUAUUUGACUCACAAUAAAUCAUCCAUACUCUUAUAAAAAAUAAAGAUGGGUAAACUCUUAAUUAGGCCUUGCUGCUGAAUUUUGUUGUUGAUUUGUAAUUUAAUUAUUGUUGAAGAUUUUUUGUGUUGGCAACCCAAACUAUCAUUGUGUUGGGUUUGGAUAACUUUAUUUGGAUUUAAUCUCCAAAAUCGAUGGGUAUCAUCACUUAUAGAUGAAUGGUUUAGCUUCUCUCAUUUUUUUGGAUUUAAUCCACUGAAACUGAGGUUUAAGAAUUUCUUGGAUUUAAUCCACUGAAACAGUUGCUUGAUCAAGAUCAUUGGCUUGUUUGAAGGCAGAUAAAGGCUUAAAAAAGAAGAAGCAAAUAUCAUCUUAGUUGAAAUUUCAAAGGCAAUUUUUUAGAGUAAAGAGGAAAUAAUUAAUACACUCAAAGCAGGUUCUAAAGAGUUCUGUCUUUCUCACCAAACAUGCAAAUAAAUCUUUGGGAUGUGAGAAAUCUUUUGCCAAUCUUCACCCAUCUCCUCCUUCCUACAGCUGUAACGUUUCCUUAGAAUGGGGCAACCCCUUAUCCCCAAUGCCUGCAGAGGCGCUGCCAAAACAUAGUCUGGUAGUGCUCUCAACAAUUGGCAAUAUUCAAUUCCCAAGUACUGAAGUUGUGGCAUAAUGGAUAUUAUUGAAGUUGUGUUGGCAUCUUCUUCUCCCACUCUCCUUUCCUUCCCACUCUUCUACUUCUCCGAGACCGUCCAUCCAAAGUUUUUUUAAUUUGGGGAAAGCAGUGACCCUUGCAAUUUCUCCUUCAUUAAUACUGGCCUUCUCAUCUUUUUCUAUACCUAAAAAUCCAGCAUCCAACCUUCUCACCUUCAUUGAGCUCAAUACCAGGCUUUCAAGGUUGGGCAAUCUUCCCAACGGAGGCAAGACCUCCACGUUUUCACAAUCACGGAGUGUAAGCUUCUGUAAUCUGGUUAAUGUCAUCAUCCAAUUUGGCAAAUCCAACCCUCCGUAGCUAUACAUGGUUAGAUUUUCCAAGUCUGACGGAGGCUGUAAAACUUCAAGUAAAAUGUCGUUCUCCCGGUUGAAGUCAAAAUCCAAUUGCAAACAAAGCAGGCGCUUCUUAUUCUUGAGUUGUGCUUCUGCAGCGUCACUCGCAUCUUCUUUACCUCCUCCUAGAUUCCGUAUACGAAGACUCCCUCCAAUGUGAUUUAAGUCUUUUAAUUCUCUUAGAUUAGCUGCUUUACUUUCAUUCUCACCACCACCACACACAGUAACACAUCUAAUGUUUGAAGACAUGUUAUCCUCUCUACUCCCUUUGGUAUGAAGGCCACACCUGAAAGAACAACCCGGAGAUGCCUCAAUUUGAUAAGUUUUCCAAUCGCAUUAGGCAAUUCCUUGAGAGAAGCACACAGAGUAACGUCUAGGGAUUGCAGAUUGCAUAAAUCACACAUGGUUUCUGGCAGGGACUCCAACUGAUAACAAGAUGCCACAUUGAGGUGUCUCAAAUGUAUCAAAUUCCCUACCUCGUUUGGUAUUUCUUUGAUUGAAGACCUUGUCAAAUUCAAUGACCUGAUGCAUGUCAACUGCUUGAACAAAUCAGGCAGUGCAACUCCAAGCGAAGGGUCUCUAGUGUCCAUCAAGAGGCUGCGAAGACCUUUUGCUUUGUGAAUGGACUUGGGAAACGAGCUCUCCUCUGACAGCAUCAUGCUUAAAUGACGAACCCUUUCAAUUGAAGUCUCCACUGUUGCUUUUCCAAGUUUACUGGCAUCCACUGUUAGACAUUCAUUUUUUGUCAUAUAUUGGGAAAAAUCAUGCACUAUAUCAUGCAUCUUGAAUUUCAUUCCUUCACACCAAUCCAUCUCAAAAUCUUGGAAGAAAGAACGCGCUGCUAAGACUUGAAAGUACUGCUCUCCUACACCCGAAGUCUCCUUGAGGUAACCUUGAGCUAUCCACAUCUUCACCAAUUCAUAUUUUCCCAUCUUGUAGUCUUUUGGAAACAUGGCACAAUACAAGAAACAUCGUCUUACCACAGAAGGUAAAUCGUAGUAACUCAAAAGCAAAGGUAUAAAUAUGCGUCUUUCAACCUGAUCUCUAUCAACCUCAUCUAGCCUCCACAGUUCGCUAGAUAAAACACGUUCCCACUCUUCUCUUGUUAUUUUAGACUGCAUUAGACCGCCUAAUACCUUGGCAGCUAGAGGGAAGCCCUUGCACUUGUUUGCAAUUUUAUCUCCGAUAUCUGUCAAUCUUUCGCACUCAUCUUCGCUUCUUUCCUGGAAUGCCACAUGAUUGAAUAUUGAACUGCAUAUCUCAUCGGACAAUUUCUCAAUGUUGAUCCGGUGGUCAGUUCCCAUCAUCGUUGCCACAGCGUCCUUACGAGUGGUCACUAGAAUUCUGCUUCCUCGUGCACAGCCUGUGAGAGAUGGUUUCAGUUGUUCCCAUUGUCCAUGAUUUUCUGUCCAGACAUCAUCAAGGACAAGAAGGAACCUCUUUCCCUUAAUGGAUUCAGAAACCCUUCGCAAAAGGGAUUGCAAUCCUACCAAAUCAGAUGCCCUCCCUUCAAGCUCCUCAAGGAUACCUUUGGCUAUUCUAACCUCAUCAAAUGGUUCUGAAACACACACCCAUAUCUUUUUCUCAAAAUGAGCCGUAACCUCAGCAUCAUUAAAAGCUAGUUGGGCGAGAGUUGUUUUUCCAAUUCCGCCCAGCCCUACUACAGAGAUGACAUCCACGUCCCGUGCUUCUUGACUACUUUCAGCCAGCAACUUGCUUACAACAUUUCUCUUUUCACCAUCUCGACCAAUCACGCUUGAUUCAUCAAACAAAGGAGGUAGUUGUUAGUCGCUGGAGUUCAUCAGUGGCUUUGUACAGAUCAAAGCCAUACUUAGCUCUCUGUUUGGCAAUGUCAUCCACUUUUUCACAAACUUCUUUGAUCUUCAGGGCAAUGCCGCGACGUCGAACCACUUGAUUGAAACAAAAGCAAGGAGAUCCCAGGAAGGAACACCGUAUCUUCUGUCGGCUGUGAGUAUUUUCUUCAGCUUCCUCCAUUUUCCAUCUAAGAAUUGCAGUGCUCCAUUCAUCUAGCACGUCAUUCAUAUCAUAACAUGCAUCUUUGAGCUUGUCUACCCAAUAUCUUACAGCCUUAUCCUUAACUUGUUUUCUAUCUGCAUCUUCAAGGACAGACUGGAUAUCAAGGAGAUUGCUUUUCAGCCUGUCGACUUGUUUCUUCACACCCACUACUAGGUUCACCUCUUCUUGUACCUAUUAGUGUACAAAAGAUAAGGAAGUUCAGGCAGAGGAAACAUUUCUAUGAUUUCACUGCAAAUUUUUAAUUUUAAUUUUUUGUAAUUAAUAGAUUAAUAAUUUUUUUUAAUCUUUUUUUCGCAGUAGCUGACACGUACAGUGAAAUGGAUUUGCUAUAUUAAAAUAUAUAUUAAAAUCCUAUAUAUUAAAGAUAAUAAUAUUUCUUUUUAUCAUCAUCAUGAUGAUAUCUGCCUGCACUCUGCUACUAUACAAGAAGGAAGAAACCUAUAUAUAACAUAAGCUUGUUGGAUCAAAGAAACAUAGAGAAUGAAAGGAUCUGUAUUUGUUGGUAUUUGUAAAGUCUAUAGUUUUAAAGUGAAAAAUAUUCUUCCUUCAUAACACUCACUAAUUAUUUUAACAUUUGAUUGAUUAUUUUACAGUUUAGUGAGAGGAUCGACAACUACUACUCCUUUUUCCUUCUAAGGAUAUUUGUUUUAGAUUAUUUCCGGAAAUAUGAAAAACAAUAAAACAAUAAAAAGAAAUUUCUUUAAUAAAAUCCAAAUCUAGAUCUGAGGAUUUGAUAUUUUAUUUUAUUUUUCUAAUAAAGGAAGAAAAAGAGACUUCAUUUUUAUAUUUCUUAUUCAUGUAAGGGUUAAUUAGAUCGUUGCAAAUUUUACAGUUAAGCAGUAGUUUGCUGAUUGAAAUGACUGUAAAUGGAUCCCAAUUGGAAACUGUCAUAAUUGAACUGCGAGCUCCGUUUUAUGUUUCUUCAGAACAUCAGUUUCCAUCGUGAUGCCUUCUUCCUUCAUCAAAAAGUGGGCAAAAUCAUAGGAGUAUGUGUCGCCUCUUCAACUUUAAAGAGUCCUCCUUCUUUUCUUGAAAAUCCUGGAAAAAAAGCUAAGAUUUUGAAGUACUCCUUACCAGCCAGCUCCAUUUGAUCUGUAUGGAAACGGACAGCUCUCCAUCAAUCAGCAACGGAGGGGUAGGGAGGUGAAGAAGAGAGGGAAUAGAUGAAAUCCCUAAUAGUAGCUUGGUGUUUUUUGUUCCAAUGACCAAACCAGAUAAUGUACGAGUUGACAGGUGCAGCCAGAACAGGCCCCUAGAAAAGCAACUGAAGGUCUACUACAUCAGAUGACCCUUCAUAGUUCUUGGCCCGGUUGAAUAGGUCGUCUAGACAAACAAAACAGAGAGAGCAAGAGUACAUUGUGUAGCAUAAGCUUAUUAUGCAUUUAAGUCUUUAGACUUUUUUUAUUAUUAUUAUUAACGUAGGUGUCCAGGUCAGCUUCCGCGCACCUUGAUUAAUCUCACGGGCACAUUGUCAGAAAUUACAGCAAGAAAUUCUGUAAUUAUUGUAAGAAAGAAGGGCAUGUAAUCAAGGAAUGUCGUCUGCGACCACAAAAUCGACAAGGAUUUACUGUGCAGUCGAAAUUGGGGGCUGCUUUUAUGGCCGCCGAAGCCGUGUCCUCACCAUCGACACUGGAAUCUUCAUCGUCGGUGAGCUCUUCGUCGAGCACUCUCACUCCCGAGAUGGUGCAGUAGAUGAUAAUAUCUACCUUCUCUGCACUCGGGAUUUCUGGUAAGAAAAAUAAACUUAACUUUCCCUUAGAUUCAGCACAUAAUAAACAAUGGUUAAUGGAUUUGGCAUCGUCUAAUCACAUGACCAACAGUGAAAAUGGGUUGUGUAAUGUGCUAAAAUACAUGGGUAAUUAGCAUAUACAGGUAGCAAAUGGUGAUAAUCUGCCAAUUUUGUCGAUUGGUAAUUUGGGGUCUUACUUCAAUAAUAUUUUUGUGUCACCAAAAUUAUCAACAAGUUUACUCUCUGUUGGUCAAAUGGUAGAAAAUAACUGUGAAAUUCACUUUGAUCAUCAUGGUUGUUGUGUGCAGGAUCAAGUGUCGGGGGAAGGUAAUCGCGAAGGGGCCUAAAGUGGGACGUUUAUUUCCAAUACAAUUUUCUAUUCCUAGUAUUAAUUCUUGUGCUUAUUCUACUCUCAUUCAUAAUCCUCAUUUUUGGCAUAAGAAAUUAGGGCAUUCUAAUUCUAAUGUAUUGACUUAUCUUAUGAAACAUGGAUAUUUGGGGAAUAUAAACUCUUUUUCAACAGAAUUUUUGGAUUGUAGUUCUUGCAAAUUGGGUAAAAGCAAAGCAUUAUCAUUCCCUUCACAUGGUAGUUGUGCUUCUAAAUGUUUUGAAAUUAUUCAUACUGAUGUAUGGGGCAUAAGCCCUGUUAUCUCUCAUGCUAAGUAUAAAUAUUUUGUCACGUUUGUUGCUACCUAAUUUUUGAUAAAUUUUCAGAAAAAUCAAAAAUAGCAAAAAAAACAAAGAAAAACCCAAAAAUAUAUUUUUGAUGUAUUUGCAUCGUUUUUAGCAUUUUCAAUGCCAUCUCAAAAGAAUUUAAAUUUUUAAAGGAAUUUUGGAACGCGUUCAACUUUUAACGCGUAAAAUUUUAUGAUCACUGAUUUUUAUUUUUGAGUUGACGGUGAUAUUGCUCGCUUUCGAAAACACAAAAAAAGAGAGAAAAUCAAAAUUUAAGAAAAAAAAGAGGAAAAGUUGAGGGACCAUUGUGAUUUUGGCCAUGCCACAUUUCUCCUAUAAAUACUAAGCUACAGUAAUGAACCAAGGGGCGAAAAAUAGACACAGGGAGAAAAAUGGUUUCACGGGGGAGAAAUUUACAUGGGGGGAAAGGCAAGUAGAAAAAAACCCUAAAGCCAAAAAAAAAAACCUAGAAACUAAAAAAACCCUUUCUUCCCCGGCAGCCGCCCUUGGCCUUUGAAAAAAACCUAGAACUAAUGAUUUUCUUCCUUAGCCACAACGCUGACCUCUCUUUUUGAAAAAGGGAGGAACAGACCGCCGCUGCAGAGUCUUUGAAAGGAAAAAGUCACCUGGCUAGGCGUUUCAAACAGCCCCGCCUCUCCUCUCUCCUUUUCUUCUCCCGAAACUAGCCAAAACUGACCCUCUCACUCUCAGCACAAAGCAGCCGCCCCCUUUACCCCCAUCUUCUUCUCCCUCAACCGACAGAUCUCACCCUCCAAUAGCAACCCCUCUUGCACGAAAAAACCCAGAGAAACCGUCCCUAAGCUCUCCAUUUUCCCUGCAGGAGGAGAGAAACCCACCGGACACAAGCCUUCUCCAGGUCUCCCCCGGAGCCGCCGCCCCCCAUCGUCUUGGAUUUGUUUCUCUCCCGAGACCAGCCGGCCACUCAUUUUUUCCCUUGGCUUGCUAAACAAAGCGGAGAAACUGGAGAGCAUCAGACUGACCUCUCUCUCCCUCGGCCGACCACCAUCAACCGGUCAACAGCAGCAUCUUCCCUUCUCCUGCAGCUCGUUACAGAGACAAUGAGAAGGGAGGCCAGAGGAUAGUGAAGAAGGGGCAGAAAACCGAAGCUUGGAUGGGCGCCGAUCUCGCAACCAUGGCAGCGGUGGACAACACCACCGUUGCAGAAACGAAAUGGGAGGAAGGGAAGUUGCUGAUCCAGCCAUCCACACGCCUGGUCUGUGGGCGGCGCGUGUAACGCCCAGCUUCAGAUUCGGCAGAUUUGAAGAAAAGAGAGGAGAAGCAGAUCCGAAAACAGUGAUUGAAAAAUAACUAAAAUCAGCUGGCUUUUUGUGCUUUGAUUUUUCUUUGCAGGUCACCACCGGUGGAAGAGGGGAUGAGGCCGUUGAAGACCCCCUGUGUUGUGUGGAUUUUUGCGGCGGCGCGUGGAUGCACGCGCCGCUACUGUUCAGGCAGCUCCAAAAAUUGUUUUCCUGAAUUUUUGGGACUAUUCUGUAAUUUUCAAUUAUGUGAUGUAAUUUUUGUUUAGUUUUGAAUUUUUUAUUUGUAUGUUGUGAAUUUGAAUGUAACAAAAAAAACAAAAAAAAAAGAAAGAAGAGAAAGGAAAAGAAAAAUAAAUAAUAUAAAGAAAGUUGUGUGUGUGUUUGUUUUUUUAUUUAUGUUAUUGAAUUAUAAAAAUAAAAAAAGGACAAAAAGAAUUAUUUGUUUAAUUUGAAUAUGGUUAAAUAUUUAAGGACAAAUAAAAUUAUGUUAUAUUUUCUAUGAAAGUGUAAGAACAUGUUUUUACACGUAUUCAGGGAUUUAAUAAUUGAUUUAUUAAAGUCUUAGAAUUUGAUUAAUAUUUUAAAUUUUCAAAUCAUAUCAAACCACGAAGCAGCUUAGCUCAGGUAGGGUGCUGUAGGGGUACUAAUACCUUUUCUAGCCACAAUCAGUCCCUUACCCUAGAAUCUCUGACCACGACCAGUAAAUCAUGGUUUUCUAGUAACCCUCUAUUAAAUACUAGGUGGCGACUCUCAAAGAACCAAUCAAGCAAAGACAACGAAAAAUUGCCAAAUCACCGCGUGGGGGACGUGCGACAAUGUUUAUUGAUGAUUUCAGUCGUUUCACUUGGAUAUAUUUUCUUCGAUCUAAGACUGAUUUAUUCUUAACAUUUCAGGCUUUCGUUGUAUUUAUUGAAAAUCAAUUUUCUACUCAUAUUAAAAUACUUUGUUCUGACUCCGGGGGGGAAUAUGUGUCCAAAGAACUUCAGGAAUAUCUCAAAAACAAAGGGAUUCUCUCUCAAAGAUCUUGUCCUUACAUUCCUUAACAAAAUGGAGUUGCUGAGCGUAAGAAUCCUCAUCUUUUAGAUGUUCGCACCUUAUUAAUUGAUUCUUUGGUACCUACUCGAUUUUGGGUAGAAGCACUGUCCACAGUCGUUCAUCUAAUUAAUUGUUUGCCUUCACAAGUACUAAACUUUGCAUCUCCAUACUCUAUUUUAUUUGGUGUUAUUCCUAAGUAUGAUUCUCUCCGUGUUUUUGGGUGUGUUUGUUUUGUUCACUUACCAUCUACUGAACGUAAUAAACUUUUAGCCCAAGCUGCUCGUUGUGCUUUUCUAGGAUACAAUAAUUUUCAUAAAGGAUUUGUGUGUUAUGAUGCAAAUGCUCAUAAAAUUCAUCUCUUGAAAUGUAAUUUUUUUUUUAAAUCAGAAUUUUUUCCCUUCUUAUCCCUCUACAAAAUCCACUCCUAUCCAACUUCCCACAUUUGAUGAUCAUAGUCCAUCUUAUAUCUUUGAAUGUUUUAAGCCAGGAAUUGUAUAUCAAAGACGUCAUCCACCAUCCAUUUUGCCCCUUCCGGACACGAAACCGGCAUCUGAUCAUUCCCCUCAACUAAGACGAUCAACUCGAGUUUCACGUGCCCCAAACAGGUAUGGAUACUAUCAGCAACUACUAUUGAUAGUACUUUUGUGCCUAAGACUUAUGCCCAGGCUUCUACCCAAGACUGUUGGCAACAGGCCAUGAAAGAGGAACUUCAGGCUCUUCAGGAUAAUCACACAUGAGAUAUUGUUUCUUGUCCUACCGGAAUUAAACCUAUUGGCUGCAAAUGGCUAUACGAAAUUAAAGCACGGUUGGUGGCUCUUGGAAAUUGUCAGGCAUAUGGUAUUAAUUAUGAGGAGACAUUUGCACCUGUGGCUAAAAUGACUACCAUACGAACCAUUAUGACAAUUGUUGCUUCCAAAAGAUGGCCACUUCAUCAAAUGGAUGUAAAAAAUGCAUUUUUACAUAGAGACUUGAAAGAGAAUAUUUAUAUGACUCCUCCUUCUGGUAUGUUUACUCACUCAUCCGAUAAAGUCUGCUGGUUGAAACGGUCCCUGUAUGGUCUAAAACAGGCACCCCGGGCAUGGUUUGAAAAAUUUCGCACUACUCUUUAGAAACUUAAAUUUAUUCAGAGCCAAUAUGAUUCCUCUAUGUUUCUUCAGCAAACUACUACUGGUAUUGUUGCUCUUCUGGUAUAUGUUGAUGAUAUUAUCAUUACAGGAUCCGACAUUCCACUCAUUGAGGAUUUACAACAUUCUCUUAACAGUGAAUUUCAUAUGAAGGAUCUGGAACACCUUCACUAUUUCCUUGGUCUACCGGUGCACUCUAUGUCCAGUAGGAUUUCUCUACAUCAGCACAAAUACACCCAAGAGAUUCUUCUUUUGGGCGUUCUUGAAUCAGGGAAUAUCGUUCUUACACCUCUCGAGAUUAAUUUAAAACUUUGUCAUAAUGAUGGUGACCUGUUACCUGAUCCCUCCAUAUACAAGCAGUUGGUGGGCAGUUUGAAUUAUCUAACCAUUACUCGGCCAAAUAUUUCUUUUGUAGUACAACAAGUCAGUCAAUUUUUACAGGCUCCUCGUCAACCUCAUUUAGCUGUUGUCCGAAGAAUUCUUCGCUAUCUUAAAGUCACAUCUGGGCGAGGAUAAUUUUUUCCUGCUGAUAAUUCAUUACAAUUAACAAGUUAUAGUGAUGCAGAUUGGGCAGGGUGCGUGGAUACACGUCGGUCUGUUACUGGGUGGUGUAAGUUUCUUGGAAAUGCUUUGAUUUCAUGGAAAAGCAAAAAGCAAGACCGAAUCUCAAAAUCUUCCAUAGAAUCUGAGUAUCGAGCUAUGUCCUCCGCAUGUUCUGAAAUUGUGUGGCUUCAGGGUUUGCUACGUGAACUUGGUUUUCCUCAGCACACUCCUACACCUCUUCAUGCUGAUAACACAAGUGCUAUUUAGAUUGCUACUAAUCAUGUGUUUCAUGAACGCACCAAACAUAUUGAAGUUGAUUGUCACUACAUUCGUGAAGCUUUUGAUCAUAAUAUUCUUACACUACCUUAUAUUUCCACCGAGCAUCAGACAACUGAUGUCUUUACGAAGGCCUUGUCUCGGCCUCGACAUCAACUCAUGAUAGACAAAUUGAUGCUUCUUGAUCGGCUAGCAUCAAUUUGAGAGGGGAUGUCAUUGUAUAUUAUGGCAAGAAUAUCAAUACUAUAUGGCAACCAAAUUGUAACAGAAUAUCUUGUAUUUAUUAUAGACUACAAAUCAGGGAUUAGAGACAGUAAAUUAGUGAUUAUUACAUGUAUUUAGAGGAUUGAAUUCCUCCUUCUGAAGUCAUUAAUUGAGAGAACAAUUUUACAUUGAAAUUUGAUAUUUGUGACAUGUGACUUGGUGAGAUUCUUCAUUUAUUAUUAUUUCCUUGUGGUGGACACAAUGGUUUACGUAGAUGAACUGAAUUCUUGCAUGACAACAACAAAAUAAGUGUGAUUCAGCACUGUCAAGAAAAAGGUAGAGCAGAGCAACCCUUUUUGACGGAGGCUAAUAAGUUGCAAAAGUUAGUAAGAAGUGGCUCAUUGAGCAACCAAUUAGCCAAGAUGUCUUAUUUCAAACCCUCGUACAGAGGAAUGCCGUAUUUUUAUUUUUCUAAGGAACUGCAUUUUUGUCCCCCUCUUCUCCUUCUUUUUUCCUGUUGAAACAGCAACAGGGUACAUCUACUCCAUGUCAAAGUCUAGUCUAUAACCAGACCAGUAAAGAACAUUGACUUACAAGGAGUUCCAUUGAAGUUUCGAUUAUGAGCAGGCAUGCUUCUAUCCCAAUUUACCACUCUGGGUCAGAUUUCACACUUAUCAGAGCACUGUGAUGACAACAGCAGAAACUAUCUAAUUUCCCACCAAACAUAAAGAGAGCUUUGAAUCUACACACCCGCCAGUUAUAAUCAUUCAAGACAGAUAUGUUAGCUAUAGUUAAGGCCAGAGAGAAACACAAGCUAAAAAAAAAUGCACCUUCUAAUUACCGAGAAGCAUGCAGAAAAAAACCUGUAGACAACUCCAAUAUUGGGUGUCAGAUUCUGUAUUUUCUGAACCUGAAACAACAAGCAAUUAAAUACCAUCAACAACCAACUCAAGUUCUAUACUAUCUUGCAAGUUAUAUACCAUCAAUGAAAUAGUUUUUAUUUAAAGGGAUUAAAAUGACAUCUUUUUACCAAAAUUGUUUUUUCCAAAAAACAUUCAAUAAUAUUUAACCAAGUUUUACCCGAGUCCAUAUAAUUUGAAAGUAAUAAAUCAUAUCAAAUUUCUUUAAAUUAUUAAAUUGGAUCCUUAAUUUUCAAUUCGUCAAAUUAUUAAAUUGGAUCUUCAAUCUCUUUUAUAGGGGGUUUGGUGUCACUGCUUAACUUAAUUAUGAUACUAUAUAUAGUGACCAUUUGUGAUAAUUCUGUUGCAGAUUAAAAAUAUUUAGCGACAUUAAAAGUGUCGUUAAAUAUAUUUUGAAGAGCCAUUACAUGUUGUUUUUUGUUUUUUGUAGUGCAACGAUAGUAAAACAUUAUGUUAAUUUUAGCAACACACCGUGACCAAAUCCAAUGAAGAAACCUAAUAAUCAAAGAAAAUUAGAAAUUUUAAAAUUGAUAUUGGAUUUUUAAAGAUUCAGAUAUUAGGUUAACAUCACAUUUACUAUAACCUUUUAAAUAAAAAAUUAUCAUUGUUUAUGUUUUUCUAAAUUAUUUUAUGCUAUUAUAUUUUUAUUUAUAAUUUAUUUAAGAAUAGACACCGGUUUCUUAGAAUAAAAAACUUGUAAAUUUUUUUGUCAUCCCUAAAAACCAAAGAGUCCAUAGCUUGUCAUUUUAUGACACUAGCCUUGCUAUGUAUAUAUAAUCUCCACGGUUAUAAAAACCAAUAUCUAAAUAGAAGAUUUCAUUAAUUUUUUUACAUUAAUCCCUGAAGACAGUAGAUUUUGUAAUUUCUUGAAUUUUAAUAAAAACUUUGAUGUUAAUCCCUUAAGAUAGAAGAUUUCAUCACUUUUUAAGAUUUAAUGAAAAUUUUGAUGAUAUUCACUAAAAUAGAAGAUUUCAUCAUUUUUUUAAUUUAUAACAAAAUUUUGACGUUAUCUCUAAAAAGUUUUUGUUGUAUAGUAAAAUGGUUUUUAUACAGUAAAAUCCAGUUCCCAUACAGUAGUGUAUAACCUUUUCGGUUUUUAGUAUGGUUUGUUUCUUUGGCUGCUUUUCCAAGAUAAAGUCUUCAUCCGUGAUUUCUUGUUUCAGCAUGAUUUCUUUUCUCUUCAGCAAGCUAGAUGUAUGUUUUGUAAAAGAAGAUUUGAAACUUCAAGCCAUCUCUUCAUUCAUUGUGUUUUUGCCUGGAAGUUAUGAAUGAAAUUCCUAUUUUGGUGGGGGAAUUAGUGAUUCUUUCCCAAAUUCUAUUGAUGAUAUAAUCUACAAAUGAUGCAAGGAAAAUUUCAGAAUCUUUCAUGAUGACAACUUCUCUUUUCUUGUAUUGCAUGGAGUCUAUGGCUACAUUGAAAUGAUGUAAUCUUCAAUGAUGCUAUUCCAGAUCUUAAGGGUUGUUUUUACUUUAUCGAUCCUCCACAGGUUCUCCUUAUGGUUGAAGUUUGAUAGCACAACUUUUGCUUACACCGGUUUGGAUUUAGGGAUCAACUCUGAUGGGAUCUUUUUCGGGGAUAACAGAAGUUGACUUCUUGUUUUUAUCUAUUGUCUGGUCCCUGUUUUCUUCUUCCUGUUAUAGAGUAGAUACCGUGAUUUAGGGAUCAACUAAGGUUCACUGUUGGUUUCUAUGCAAGGCAAGAUUGAGAGUUAUGUGAAUAUAUGAGUUGGAAGGUUAGAGUAAAUGCUGGAUGGUAUUUUUUAUUUUUCCCUCUCAUUGGCGCUGCUCACCAAUAGCUCGGGUGCAUUUGAUGCUGAUGGAGAUGGAACCGAAGCUUAUAUAUUCAGCCACUUCACAUGCUUUUUUUCUUUUAACAGUCGAGUGUAUUAUAAGAAAAUGGCUAAAAAGAUAAUAGCCUAGCAUCCAGAAGUUCUAGCUGACCACAAAAAAAAAAAAAAAAAGCAAACAAGCUUUAGAGGUUUUGAAACAGGGGAAGGAAAACAGUGUGGGAAAAGGAAAAAAACAAUUGAAAUCAGCUCCUCCUUUUUACAAAACCAAUGCCAUCAUAGCUGUUAUGAACAUCCUCGCCAGCAGAGUCUGGAGAAUUGGUAUCAAGUCUCAGCCAUAAUGAGAAACUGCCGAAGAUCAAGGAAAAACAGCUUUGAAGGUUUGGAGCAGCCCUAUUAAAGAUGAUAUCUCCAUAGAAAACCAUUAGUAGUACAUAUCAUCAAUCGAUUUUGUGAAAACAUUGAUAAUACCCCACCGUGAAGGAAUUUCAUUCAUAGAUGCCAAGCAAAGUGGCAGUGGAUGAAGAGGUGACUUGAAGAUUCCAGGUUUUUAUUACAAAAAACACAUCUAGAAGCCACUUCAGAUGCUCAUGAUGAUAUUACAUGUUUCUUCUCUCUGAAUUCAUACAAUCUUUCUUUCAUACACUUCCAUAUUUUUCAGAAAAGAUUGAGGAUGAAGAUACACCAAAUUUAGAUUGCAUCAGAGGUUGCAGUCACUAUCUUUACACGGGGUUGGCUUUUUUUACUUGCUAAAGAUGGCUAACUGUAAUUAGAAUGUUUCUUCUUUUCAAAGUAAUAAAUCUCUGAGUCCUUACAUCUCUAGUUAAUUAUAACUACCUUACCGGUCAUAAUGCUCUUUUCUAUACCUGAUGAAUGAUAUUAUUUCUGAGAUUUUUGAACAUGUAAUGACGGAAGCCUGCGGUGGAUUGGUUCCCUUUGUUACGUUACUGGAGUCGCAAUGUUUCGAGGUAUCUGACCAAAUUAAUUCUCUUGCUUUUUGCAGCAAAUCUGUAUCUCUUGCUACUUGCUAGAGGCGUACUCCCAGGCUACCACUGUUUUGGUGUUGCCUCUCUUACCAUUGUUAUUAGGUUGAAUUAAUUAAAUACCAGAAGAUUUCUGGAUGUGUAAUGACUGUAUGAUUAAACUUACCAGUGCACUGUCAAGGCUGUGGCGCAUGAACUUCAUUCGCGGGCGUGCGUCACCACUGUUCCACCGUGUGCCGUCGCAGCCUUCACCAAUUCCAGUAGCUCCAGUUUUUUUCUCCAUUGCCUCCAUUGAAGGUCCAAUUUUCGAGCUCACAAAACAUGACAUCUUGAGUUUAUUUUUCACGAAUUAUGUUUGUGUUUUGACAAAUCCAACAAUUAUGAUUUGAUUUAGUUGUUUCUAGUUAUGGGACACAAUGUUGUGUUUUUUUAUUAAAAAAAAGAAGAAAAGAAAACAGAGAGAAUGCUAAAAAGAAAGUCACAGCUGCAUGUGAUAGAAUACAUGUAAGUAGGAAAUAAAAUCCAACUCAAGAAUAGAUUACAAAUGAGUUCAAUCCAUUUACAGAAAAAGGGUAUAUAGAAUAUAUUUGUCUGAAGAAUCCCCUGUCUGGAAGUUCUUUGAAUGGGGCUGUGAUGGCAUUUAGAAAGCACAAGCACUAGGGGUCUUGUCUUUCACUAGCAGAAACAUAUUUAUUGUUGAAGAUUUUUUGUGUUAGGUUUAGAUAACUUUAUUUGGAUUUAAUCCACUAAAUUGGUGGGUAUCAUCUCUUAUAGAUGAUACUUUAGCUUCCAAGUCUACCAUUCUCUCAUUUAUUUGGAUGUGUUUUGUAGGGUAGAUAUGGUUGUUUUUCAAAAUGUUUUUUAAUUGAAAAUGCUUUAAAAUAAUUUUUUAAAUAUCAGUUUUUACAUCAACAAUAUAUCAAAAUGAUCUAAAAAUAUUUAUAAAAAAUUAAUUUAAAAUAAAUAAAUAAAAUUUAAAUUUAAAAAAAAAACAAAACACUUACACAAAAACAAAUAGAAUCUUGCUGUGAAUAACAGAAUUUGGUGCUAAAUUUCUUGUUGUGAAUUGCAGAAAACAGUUGCUUGAUCUGCACUAGGAUGGCAAUAGCAAGGUAAUGGAGGAUGUGAGAAAGGUAUAUCCAAGUCGUGCUUCUUUUUUGUAUCUUUCUCCUCAUCCACUAACUCUUGCUUCUUUUUUUCCCGUGAAAAAAUGGAGAGCCGAAAAUAGAUUUGUUAAAAAAUGGAGUUCCUGCAGAUUCCAAUUAAAGAGUUCUGUCUUUCUCCUGUAAUCAUCAAAACAAAUGUUAGGGAUGUGAGAAAUCUUUUGCCAAUCUUCACCCAUCUCCUCCUCCCCGUAACGUUUCUUAAUGGGGCAUCUACUUAUGUCCAGUUCCUGUAGAGGCGCUGCCAAAACAUAGUCUGGUAGUGCUCUCAACAACGGGCAAUUUCAAUAUCAAUCUCGAAGUUGUGGCAUAAUGGAUAUAUUGAAGUUGUGUUGGCAUCUUCUUCUCCCACUCUCCUUCCAAUUCCAUCCCACUCUUCUACUUCUUCGAGAUCCAAAUCAAGUUUUUAAUUUGGGGAAAGCAGUGACCCUUGCAAUUUCUCCUUCAUUAAUACUGGCAUUCUCAUCUUUUUCUAUACCUAAAAAUCCAGCAUCCAACCUUCUCACCUUCAACGACCUCAAACCAGGCUUUCAAGGUUGGGCAAUCUCCCAACGGAGGCAAGACCUCCAGUUCACAAUAACAGAGUUUAAGCUCCUGUAAUCUGGUUAAUGUCAUCAUCCAAUUUGGCAAAUCCAACCCUCCGUACCUAGAUAUGGUUAGAUUUCCAAGUCUGACGGAGGCGUAAAGCUUCAAUUAAAAGCCGUUCUUGCCGGCUCUGUGUCGAAACCAAUAGCAAACAAGCAGGCGCUUCUUAUUCUUGAGUUGUGCUUCUGCAGCGUCACUCGCAUCUUCUACCUCCCCGUAGAUUCCAUAUCUUAAGACUCCCUCCAAUGUGAUUUAAGUUUUUUAAUUCUCUUAGAUUAGCUGCUUUACUUUCAUUCUCACCACCACCACACACAGUAAACACAUCUAAUGUUCGAAGACAUGUUAUCCUCUCUAUUCCCUUUGGUAUGAAGGCCACUCCUGAACCAUAAAUCCGGAGAUGCCUCAAUUUGAUAAGUUUUCCAAUCGCCUUGGCAAUUCCUUGAGAACCACACCAAGUAACGUCUAGGGAUUGCAGAUUGCAUAAAUCACACAUGGUUUCUGGCAGGGACUCCAACUUAACAAAUGCCAAAUUGAGGUGUCUCAAAUGUAUCAAUUUCCCUACCUCGUUUGGUAUUUCUUUGAUUGAAGACCUUGACAAAUUCAAUGACCUGAUGCAUGUCAACUGCUUGAACAAAUCAGGCAGUGCAGCUCCAAGCGAAGGGUCUCUAGUGUCGAUCAAGAGGCUGCGAAGACCUUUUGCUUUGUGAAUGGACACGGGAAAAGAGGUCUCUUGACAGCAUCAUGCUUAAAUGACGAACCCUUUCAAUUGAAGUCUCCAUUGUUGCUCCUGAAGGUUAUUGACAUCCACUGUUAGACAUUCAUUUUUUGUCAUAUAUUGGGCAAAAUCAUGCACUAUAUCAUGCAUCUUGAAUCUAAUAUCUUCUGAUCAUACGUCUUAAAUCUUGGAAGAAAGAGCGCGCUGCUAAGACUUGAAAGUACUGCUCUCCAACAAGCUCCAUAUCUCCACCUGAAGUCUCCUUGAGGUAACCUUGAGCUAUCCACAUCUUCACCAAUUCUAUUUCCCAUCUCGUAGUCUUUUGGAAACAUGGCACAAUACAAGAAACAUCGUCUUACCACAGAAGGUAAAUCGUAGUAACUCAAAAGCAAAGGUAGAAAUAUUCCUCUUUCAACCUGAUCUCUAUCAACC